UUAUCCCGACCUUGGCAACCAAACGGUGCAGUAAAAUUUUUAUCCCGGGACUAUUAUUUUAUCUUGGGACUAUUUGAUUUAGUACCUCACACCAAACGACCCCUUACUAUUUAUUAUUUUUAUAUUAUUAGAUGAUGAGCUAGGGUGGGGAAGGGGGUGAAGUAAAUUUACUAGUAUAAAAAGGGAUAUCCAAAACCUCUGUGAACACAUAAAAAGUUGUAUCUUCUAGUACUUGAAUCGUAUAUACAAAAAGAUCAUCAAGAAACAUGUCUUCAAAAAUUUCUCUUGUUUGCCUCAUUAAUGUUGUGCUUUACAUGAUGAGCACCAGUCCUAUGGUAGCCCAUGGCCAAUUAUCUCCACCAAUCCUUGGACCAAUCCAUGGUAUACAAGUUAGGGGACUUGGGGUGAUUUGCUCUUCAACAGGCCGCAUUCUCAGUGGAGUAAAUGCCACCAUUUCUUGUAAUAUUAAUGGGGUUAUUAUAAUCGUUGGUAAUGUGACCACAACUCCUCGGGGCAUUAAUGCUCUGUUGAACCUUACAAGGCCGCUGAAUUUGUCUAUCCCUGGUUUAAUUCCUACUUGCACUGCAAACGUUACUCUCCCAAUUGUUGGUUGUAGUGCUUUUCCUUCCACAGGAACCCUUGAAGCUCCCAUCACGUUUAUUGGCACCAUUGUCGAAAUUGGUCAAAUACUUCUACUAGGAAUAAUUGGCCUAUUCCGAAUCCAAUAAACAUCAAUUACGCAUUUCUGUUUCUCCACUCCUUAAUAAUGUCUCUUUUACUUAAUAUGUACUGUGGCCUAAAUAAAUGAGACAUAUAUAUUACUCCUAUCUAUGGAGUAUAAAAUGUGAUGUCCGUUAAAAUAUUACUAGUAUUAUUAUCUAAUAAAUGAUGAGUGGAUAAGUACUUUUUUUAAUUUUAUUUGAUACUACGUAAAACAGGGAUCAUAUUUGCGCAUCAUUCUUUUUCUUUUUCCUUUUAAAUUCAUCUUAUUUGUGUUUUUAAAUUUUCAACAACAACAUACCCAAUGUAUUCCCCUAUUUUUCCUAGACCAUCAUAUGUCAAAAGCAUCGAAGACACUGCUAUAUAACUCCUGUAGAACAAUUACUCUCCUAGUAGUUAUAUUGAGCUUUUUGAAUGCAUAGGCUUAUUAAUUUUUAUUAAUGAACUAAGCUUGUCACAUAUUUCACAACCAAACUUUAAGGAAUAGUUGAUAUCUUGAGUUAAUAACUUAAAUGGUGACUCAACUUUGACCCUUUUAUCUCAAAAAGUCACCAAACUUUGAUAUUUACUUCAAAAGUCACUCAACUUUCACAUUUUUUACUAAGAAAGUCACUCAAAUUAUUUAAUCCUUUUUUAAAUAACAUUUGUUUAUGUGGAAUUAUUAUUUAAAUGCAAAAUUCAGAAAAAUAAAAAAUUAUCUCUUAAUGACCCUUUUAUCCUUAUUCCCAUAAAUUAAUUUUUCUUUCUCAUUUUUUUCUCUUUCUCACAUAUUGUAAUUGAUUCAAUAUUAAAUAUGCCUAAUAAAAUAUUAAAGAUCAAAUUAAAUUUAUAAAAAAGAGCAUCUUUAGAGUGAAAACAGGAAGGGGGAGAGGAGGGGAGGGGAGGGGUUGUAUCGUUGAGAGCAUCACAUUUAUAAUAAGCUAUAUAAUGUGAAAAUUUAAAUUUAAUUAGAUUUCAAUACGAAUAUCAAUAUCAGAUGGAAAAAAAGAAGUUGAAACAAGGAUUGAAAAGGUAGAACAAAAUAAUUAUAAUUUUAAUUCUUUGGUUAUUGUUAAAUUUUAAUGUGAUCCUUUGAUAUUUUAUUAAAUAUAUUUAAUGUUGAAUCAAUUACAAUAUACGAGAAGGAGAAGAAAAAUGAAAAAAAGGAGGGGAGAUACUAAAUUUAUGGGAAUAAGGAUAAAAUGGUUAUUAAGAGAUAAAUUUUUAUUUUUUAAAAUUUUGCAUUUAAAUAAUAAUUCCACAUAAGAAAAUGUUAUUUAAAAAAUGAUUAAAUAGUUUAAGUAACUUUCUGAGUAAAAAUAUAAAAGUUAUAACUUUUAAAAUAAUGACCAAAGUCACUUUCUGCAAUAAAAUUCUGAAGUUGAGUAAACAUCCACUUAUUAACUCUUGAUAUCUUCAAUUCAAACUUAUGGCCUUUGACUAAACUUAUCUUUCAUAUUCAAAAAAAUUAUCCUUCUUAAUCAAACUAAGAGUCUAAGACUAUCCUAAACCCAUCCGUCAUAGAUUCUGACAAUAGGCGAUUUAAAAUUCAAGAGUUUACAUAGUUGAAGAUGACUUUUCGAAUUUAUAGAAAAAUUAAAUGACUGAUUUAUAAUUAUUUUAAACUUUAAUAUAUUUAUCUAUUCAAAAUUUAAUAUUUUAUUGUAUUUAUAAUUACUUAAUCGGCUAUAGCUUAAUUUAUUUUUAAAGUUAAUAUUACCAUGUAAUUUCUUUUGAUCAUCAUCACCAUGUUGGUUCAAAUUCUUUUUGACCAUCAUCACCAUGUUGGUUCAAACUUCUAGAUUUAGUAAGUAAAAUUAAACGAAAUUCCUAAGAAGUUAAAAGAAACCAACAAAUGUGCAUGGCUAUAUUUAAGGUGAUCAACUACCGUUAAUAUUGAAAUUUGAAUAAAAAGGUCCUAAUAAUUACUUUCUCCAGCUUUUGUUUUAACUGAAGGUGUCCAGGAAAGUCGUACAAGUAAUACAGUGAUUGCAACUGUAACAAUCCUCCCAGACGCUAUAGAGUAAUUAGGGCCUAUGUAUCCUAUUAGAGNNNNNNNNNNNNNNNNNNNNNNNNNNNNNNNNNNNNNNNNNNNNNNNNNNNNNNNNNNNNNNNNNNNNNNNNNNNNNNNNNNNNNNNNNNNNNNNNNNNNNNNNNNNNNNNNNNNNNNNNNNNNNNNNNNNNNNNNNNNNNNNNNNNNNNNNNNNNNNNNNNNNNNNNNNNNNNNNNNNNNNNNNNNNNNNNNNNNNNNNNNNNNNNNNNNNNNNNNNNNNNNNNNNNNNNNNNNNNNNNNNNNNNNNNNNNNNNNNNNNNNNNNNNNNNNNNNNNNNNNNNNNNNNNNNNNNNNNNNNNNNNNNNNNNNNNNNNNNNNNNNNNNNNNNNNNNNNNNNNNNNNNNNNNNNNNNNNNNNNNNNNNNNNNNNNNNNNNNNNNNNNNNNNNNNNNNNNNNNNNNNNNNNNNNNNNNNNNNNNNNNNNNNNNNNNNNNNNNNNNNNNNNNNNNNNNNNNNNNNNNNNNNNNNNNNNNNNNNNNNNNNNNNNNNNNNNNNNNNNNNNNNNNNNNNNNNNNNNNNNNNNNNNNNNNNNNNNNNNNNNNNNNNNNNNNNNNNNNNNNNNNNNNNNNNNNNNNNNNNNNNNNNNNNNNNNNNNNNNNNNNNNNNNNNNNNNNNNNNNNNNNNNNNNNNNNNNNNNNNNNNNNNNNNNNNNNNNNNNNNNNNNNNNNNNNNNNNNNNNNNNNNNNNNNNNNNNNNNNNNNNNNNNNNNNNNNNNNNNNNNNNNNNNNNNNNNNNNNNNNNNNNNNNNNNNNNNNNNNNNNNNNNNNNNNNNNNNNNNNNNNNNNNNNNNNNNNNNNNNNNNNNNNNNNNNNNNNNNNNNNNNNNNNNNNNNNNNNNNNNNNNNNNNNNNNNNNNNNNNNNNNNNNNNNNNNNNNNNNNNNNNNNNNNNNNNNNNNNNNNNNNNNNNNNNNNNNNNNNNNNNNNNNNNNNNNNNNNNNNNNNNNNNNNNNNNNNNNNNNNNNNNNNNNNNNNNNNNNNNNNNNNNNNNNNNNNNNNNNNNAUAUAUAUAUAUAUAUAUAUAUAUAUAUAUGUAUGUAUGUAUUUAAAAUUAUUAUUUAUGUAUAUAUAAAAAAAUGUUGAUUAUCAUUUGUUAAUUAUUUUUUCCCUCUUUAGAGUCUUAAAUUGUCAUGACCUGAACCAGGGUCCUGCCGUGACGAGCAUCCCAAACCAAUCAAGUCCUAAAAUAACCCCCUUAGACUUACCUUGAGAGCACAAUAAUAAUAAACUGAGGAAGCUAACAGUAGGAAAAGAGAGAUGUAAUGAUCAAAAGAGUAAGUUUGAGAGUCAAAAACCAAUUCCAUAAAGAAAAGUCAAACACCAAUUCCAUAAAUAAAUACCCAGCACCGUCCACAAAGCCUCUAAACAAAGAAUACCAGCCAACCAGGGAUAUGACCUCGACUAUGCCAGAAGAAAAAUUAUAAGUAAUGAAAUCAUGAAAGACUAGAGGAAACUAAGCUUUCCGAAUGAGGGAGACCUCACCACUUUAACAGCUAUCCAACCAGAGUACCAAACCACCUAACGCGGCACAGGGUCACAAGAAAAUCCCUCAGGACCUACAUCAUGAAAUGAUGUAGCAUUCGAGGAUGGUCAGUACGACGAGUACUGGCAUGCAACCCAAGGAAAGGGAUAAAAUAUACAAGUACCAAUCCAGUAGUAAAACACAUGAUAAAGUGUAUAUAUAUAAAUCGGAAACUAGUCAUAAAACAUAUGCUUAUCAAUCAUCAAGAUAAUAGGAUACCGGGGUAGGGGACAAGGAACAUGAAACAUGACCAUUUAAAAAUUUAAUCCUAAACUAUGUAUCUCGUACUAGCCUAAAGGUACCCAUGGGCUAUAUGGCUCCAAUCCAUGUUAGAUGCAUGGAUUGGAGAAAUUAGGCUAAAGUCACCAAUGGUCAAUUAGCCUCCCAAAAAUAUAUUAUGUAAAGUUGACAUAGUGGUCAUAGGCCCCCAACAUCGGCAAAUGUGAUUUCUUGUGUUGGCCCCCUCGGAACUACACCUUUUUGGUGAGCUAUACAAUUCUCUUUACGACCAACUAAGAUAAUUUUCACAUACCAUUAAUUGUGGAGUCAUUUAUUAAAAUAUUCCCAAUUUAGUAUCGUCAUACCAAUAAACUUGCAAGCCAUUCCAAUUAUGAUAUACCAUAUCCAUAAUCAAUUUAACUAUUUAGACUUCAAUUUCUAUUUAAAAAUCCAUAACCUAAGCUCCCAAGGGCGUUUUCAAAAUUGUAUUAUCUUUUUAUCAUUGGAAGUAAUAUAAUUUUCCAAAGGACAAUUUAGACACUAUGAAAUCCUUGUGUAAAAACUAAAUUAUGGUACGGGUUGAGGUUCAUUUCAUUAUCAUUACGAAAAAAUCAAUAAACAUUGUAAAAACAUAUUGUCAAAUUCCCACCAUUACCAUGAGAAAAAAAUUCAGUUCACAAUCCACCAUUUAACCCAUAAAGAAACUAUUAAAAUAAGGGAAAGUCAAUGCAAGUGUAAAACAACAAAAACCCUCAACCAUAGUUUGAAUUAAACAACCAAAAAAAUAUGUAAAUAUCAAGUAAUUCAAUUUAAUAAUAUAGUAAGUAAAAUAGGGAGUGGCCAAUAUACCUUUUGAUGGAGUGAAUUCAAAAAAAGUUUGAGUUUCAAGCCUGGAGAGUUGAAUUCUUAAGAAAACCCUUAGUUGCUUCUCUUGAAAGUUGAAAAGAGAAAGAAUAAUGAUAAAAUCUUAUAAUUGAUUGCCUAAUAGGGGUUGGGAAGUGUAUAAGGUCAUUUAAUGGGUUUAAGGACAAAAAAGCCCUCACUCCAACUUAAAAAAUAAACUGGGCGAUUUUAGUCCUUGGGCAUGAUAUGCCCUUAUCAUGCUAACCCAAGGGCAUGGCACGACAUUAUUAUGGAAUGCCCAGGAAGUGGCACACCGCUAUCGCGAACUGAAACACCUUGGGUUUUGACCCUUAGAAAAUUUCCUUGAUUUUUGGUCUCUGGACGAAGUAUGAUUAGGGGAAAUGACUUGUACACUGGGAUAGGAGUGGUAUGGUUUAUUCAUAUUCUAACCAGUAUUGGUUGAUAGGUUGGAUUUGGUUUCUGGAAUGGAUAUGACUUAGGUGGUACAAGUUGUAUCAGUGGAUACGGGUUGUCUGGUUACUCAACUUAAUCUUAGACUUGGAAAAUUAGGUUGGGUCUUAGUACGAGUGGCUUACCAUGAGUCGUGAGCCAUAAUCCAGGGUAUGAGUCAUACCAUGGACUCGUAUAGUGGACAAUGUUCAAUACUUUUGGGAUUCUAUUCCACCAGGGGUACGGGUCAAGGGUACUAGUCAUAUACUUAGAUACGACAGGGAUUUGGGUGAAUCGUACCUUGGACAGUAUUAGGUCUAAGGGGGAAUGACCUUGUAUACGAGUGGUUGGUAUAACUUGUACCAAAGGGUACGACUGGUUUGGAUGGUCGUGCCCACAUGAAGGGAUUUUUGGGAGUUUAAGUAAUACUUAGAAGCUUUUAUAAACACUCUAUAAUUCUCUCAAAGACUUGUGGGUGGAUAAAAGCUAGGGUUUCAUCUUAAGGAUUAAUUGGGGGCUUGUGUUGGUAAUUUCUCUUUAUCAUCUUCUUUGUAUAAGGUGUGGUAUAUUCCCUCAUUGUUGGUUCCAACUAAAGGCAUGGUUUUAUACAAUAUUUUUAUGGCAUAGUUAUUGUAUGGGUUUGGUUUUCAAAUAUCUAUUGGAGGUUUUGGUUAUAACUGCUUAUUAAUGGUUUUCCCAUGUUUUAAUUUUGCAUUUACAAUUUUUAAUGAUGUUUUGGAGACUUGGUUCAUGGAAAUAGUUUAUUGGUAAGUGGAAUUGGUUUUGGUAAUACUAUGCCCCCAAUGUGUUUGAUAAAAUGCCUAUGAGAAUGCUUUCACUAUAUUUUUGGAUUUUUAAUGAAAACUGUUGCAUAGUAUGGUUUAGUAAUGGAACCCUAAAAGGUUUAAAUUGUUUGGAAUGGUUAAAUAGAAUGGUUUGGAUAAAUAAACACACUUGCGUGGUAUAAUGGAAUCCCCUAGGUAAUCAUAAUAAUUGAACGCUUGUGGGGUACAUGGGACUCCCCCAAGUUGACUUGGUAAUGUGAUCUAUGGGUACAUGGAAAUUCUUGAUCUCUAAUGGUUUGGAUAUGGACAAUAGUUGCAAGUUAUAGUCGGCAUGACGAUACCACUAAUCAUAGCCUUUGUUAAAAAUGAAUUAAUUGGAUAGUAAAUAGUUUUAAUUGGGAAAGGAUGAAGGGGGAUGAUAGGUGACCAUGAAGGUGGAGUCCUAUAGACAGUCGCUAGAAAGUUAUGUUUGCCGACAUGAGGUGAGGGCAUGACAACCCUAUAUGAUACUACGAGGUACAGUGGAAUCCUCUAAGUACACUGUACAUAUGUAUCAUGGAGAUCAAAGGGUACUCUGGAAUUCCCUACUCUUAUGGUAUCUUUGGUUCAUGCGGAUACACGUAUCGGGGCCCGUUCAGGGGGUUACACUGGACCCAUAUAGCCUAUGGGUGGUUAAGAAUGGUUAAGCUUCACAUACCCUGGUUAUUGGUUUUAAAUUUAUGCUAAAUCUGAUUCUCUUUCCUAUUAAGGUUACUUAUAUAUAUGUAUGAUUUAUAUGCAUAUAAUUGGUUUAUCUAGUUUUACUAAAUGUCAUUAUUUUAUCCUUAUCCUGAGUUCAUGCUAGCAUUCACCCAGUAACCCUUUUUCAAGUGGCUGUAUUCCUAUGCGAUGUAGGAACCGGUCAUUUUACUCCUCCUGUUUAGCACCCGGACACUUGGGGUUAGCUUUUAGAUUGAAAUGGUGAGCUUUCAUCUUUCUUGAAGGCUUUAUUUCAUGGAUGUUAUUUCAUACUUUAGUUUAUUUAUGGAUAUUGGUUUCGGCUAUGGUUGGGGGCAUGUUCUAACCAGAUUUAGGUUUCUUUUCAGUUAGAGGCUUUUGUGGAACUACUAUGGAUUGGCAUGAAAGGGAUCAGUACUGGUAUGAGCCUUAGUAUUGGCAUUUUUCAUUGGGGCUGACUUCUUUGGACGAUAUUUUUGGUUGUUCUAUCCUUUUAUGUUAUAUUAUGGAACUUGGUUUGGUUAUUAUUUAGUUGAUUGGUUUAUGGUUUGGCCUGGUUAUCGGGAGGCUUUAGACAGUUUGAAUAGGUUGGGUCGGUCUCGAUUAUAGACCUAUCCCAAAGUCUGAAAUUGAGAAAUUAAGCUAUUUUGUUAUAUGUUCAAAAUUCAUCAGACUCAAGGUAUGCAUUUGUAUGGUUGGAUUGGUAUCAGGGGGUGGUCCCCUAUCCUGGUUGGACUUGGGAUGCCCAUUACGAAAAGGCCCUGGUUCGGGUCUUGUCAAGUUGGUAUCAUAGCUUUAGGUCAUGGUCAAUUGGUAGUCCACAAAGCCGUGUAUUGUAGAGUCUCUUUUAGGGGUGUGUAUCUUGCCACACUCAUAAGAGAGAGGCUGCAAGACAUUUAGGAAUGUUUUACUUUCUUAGUAUUCUAUUUCAAGCUUGGAGUCCGAGUCUCGGAGUCUUCUCUAAUCCUUGUUUGUUCGUCUUUCAGGUCAUGCCUCAUAGAUCUGAAAUACAAGAAAAUUCUUCUGUCCCAUAUGGGGAUGAUAUUGAUGGGGUAUGUCUUACACUUGGAGUUUGCACUCGAUCUCAAGGUCCUAUCCCUGAUGGUUCUAGAGUUCCACUGAUUGCUACUAGUCCUCCUCAAGGUGAGGUGACUAAUGUAGAAUUUUUUCAAUUAAUCUAUGUUAUUGCUCAGUUGGUUGUUGUUCAGGCUGAUCGGGGUAUAUUUGGCGUGUUGUCUAUGGAGGCCACAAGGGUUGGACAGUUUAUGAUGAUGAAUUCUCCUACUUUUACUGGUGUGAAGGUGGACGAGGAUCCUCAAGGCUUUUUGAACAAGAUAGAGAAAAUCUUUAGAGUGAUACCGGCCACUAAUGUGGAAGGGGUAAACUUUAUAGCUUAUCAGCUCAAAGAUAUUGCGUACUAGUGGUACGAGGAGUGGGAUAUAGAUAGGGGUGAUAUGGAGGAGCUGUCCUUAUGGGAGGCCUUUUCUAAUUCUUUUUUGGAUUACUUCUUUCCUCAGGAGCUGAGGGAAUGAAGAUGGAGGAAUUUGUGAAUCUUAAGUAGGGAAGAAUUUCUAUCAAGGAAUAUGCUUAGAAAUUUCAUCAGCUGUCAAGGUAUACUUUAGAUUUGGCGAUUGAUAUAAAGGUAAGAAUGAGAAAGUUCACUUCUGGGCUAUCUCGGGAUUUGAUCCUUGAAAGCAAGACUACUUUAUUGAUAAAGGAUAUGGAUAUUUUGAGGUUAGUUAUUCUUAUGAAGCAAGUGGAGUAUAAAAGAGGAAGCAUGCAGAGUUCGGGAAAAGGCAGGGUAAGAGAAGUAGGUUAUCUGAGCAGGGUGGUGCUCAAUAGCAGAAUGGUAACAAUGGAGAUAAAUGACAAAAGAAAAAGUAGGGGAGUUCUAGUUCCUUCUCCAUAGCUAGUGCUCCUUACCUGAAGCAAUCAGGUGACAGGCGUCAGUAAGGUAGUGACACUUUUCAAGCACAGGGUGCCCAAUCUCAGGAGAGUGAGGCUCAAUCAGCUUCAUCAUGCCCUUCUCUAUAGUUCUGUGGUAGGUUGCAUAGGGGCUUCUAUGAUGAAGGGAGGGACAAGUAUUUUAAAUAUGGCCAGCCAGGCCAUAUGCUCAGAAAUUAUCCGAUGGGUAAAGGUACUUUAGGAGCGGUCAAAGUUCCUGUUGCUUCAUCUUAUGCUCCCUCACCUAGUGGUGCUACUUCUACGUAUUCUCCUACUUCUAGUACCCGCACAGGCCAAAAUAGGUUAUAUGCUCUUGCGUCCCGACAGGAGUCUGAGGCAUCACUUGAUAUUAUAACUAAUAUGUUAUAACUUAUUUUUCAUGACGUGUAUUGUAUGCUUGAUCCGAGGUCUACACUCUCUUAUGUAACCCUAUUUGUGGCUAUGUGUAUUGAUUUUGAUCCUGAGGUUAUUUCAGAUCCUUUUUUUGUUUCCACCUUGAUAGGUGACUCAAUUAUUUUUAAAAGAGUCUAUAGGAGGUGUGUGGUUGUUGGUGGCUAGCAAACCUUGGUGGAUUCGUUUUAACUGGAUAUGGUAGAUUUUGAUAUAAUCCUAGGGAUGGAUUGGUUACAUUCUUGUUACGCGUCCUUGGAUUGUCGGACCCAUAAGGUUGUCCUUAGGUUCCCUGGUGAACCAGUUAUAGAGUGGAAGGGUGAUUCCUUAGCUCCAAGGGGGAGGCUUAUUUCCUAUCUUAGAGCUCAAAGAUUGAUCUUCAAGGGGUAUAUUUAUCAUCUGGUCUGAGUUAAAGAUUCUAACUUGGAAGGUCCUUUUUUUUAUUUAAUUCUAGUGGUAAGUGAAUUUCCUGAGGUCUUUUUGGAUGAUCUUUCUGGUGUUUCUCUGGAUAAGAAAAUUGAGUUUGGUAUUUAUUUGAUUCUGAACACUCGUCCAAUAUCUAUUCCUCCUUAUAGAAUGGCUCCAGCUGAGUUGAGGGAACUCAAAGAGCAACUUAAGGAUCUUCUGGAUAAGGGGUUUAUUCGUCCUAGUAUAUCCCCGUAAGGUGCAUCAGUGUUGUUCGUGUGCAAGAAGGGUGGUUUCUUUCGAAUGUGCAUUGACUAUCGACAGUUGAAUAAGGUAACAAUUAAGAACAAGUAUCCUCUUCUAAGGAUUGAUGAAUUAUUUAACCAGUUUUAAGGUGUCAAUUUCUUCUCUAAGAUAGACCUUCGGUAUGGGUAUCAUCAACUUAAAAUUAGGGAGGUAGAUAUCUCUAAGAUGGCUUUUCAUACUAGGUAUGGGCACUUUGAAUUCUUGGUUAUGUCAUUCGGUUUGACUAAUGCCCCAAUAACAUUUAUGGAUCUGAUGAACACAGUUUUUAAGCAGUUCUUGGAUCUCUUUGUCAUUGUUUUUAUUGAUGACAUCUUGGUUAAUUCUAAGAGUGAGGUGGAUUAUGCUAAUCACCUCAGUAUCGUGUUAUAAACCUUAAAGGAAUAACAAGUGUAUGCCAAGUUCUCCAAGUAUGAGUUUUGGUUGAAUGUUAUGGAUUUUUUGGGGCAUAUUAUUUCUAGUAAGGGGAUCAUGAUCGAUGCACAAAAGGUUGCAUCGGUGAAGAAAUGGCCUAGACCCACGACUCCAACCGAUAUUCAAAGCUUUUUGGGUUUGGCUGGUAUUAUAGGCAGUUUGUGAAAGGUUUCUUAACAAUAGCUGCCCCAUUAAUUAACUCAGAAAAGGUAAAGUUUUCAUGGACGGAUGCAUGUGAGGGUAGUUUUGAGAAGCUUAAGGAUAAGCUAACUUCGGCUCUAAUUUUGAUAUUACCUGAAGGUAAUAAGGGGUUUCUGGUUUAUUGUGAUGCAUCCAGGGUGGGACUUAGUUGUGUUUUGAUGCAGCAUAGGAAGGUGAUUGCCUAUGCUUCCAGGCAGUUAAAAAUGCAUGGGAGGAAUUAUCUUACUCAUGAUUUGGAGCUUUUAGUAGUGGUUUUUACCUUAAAGAUAUGGCGACAUUCUUUGUAUGGUGUUCACGUAGAUAUCUUUUCUGAUCAUAAGAGUAUGCAGUAUCUAUUCACUCAGAAGAAGCUAAAUCUCAGGAAGAGGAGAUGGUUGGAGCUUCUCAAGGAAUAUGAUAUGGGUCUUCACUAUCAUCCAGGUAAGCCUAACAUUGUUGUUGAUGGUCUUAGCAGGUAUCCAUGGGGAGUUUAGCUCAUAUGGAUAAGGAGAAACGGAUAUUGAAGAAGGAUAUUCACUUCUUGGCUAAUCUUAGGGUCUAUCUUCCAGACUCCGAGGAUGGUAGCGUGAUUGUACAAGAAGUGGUUCGAUUGUCUCCUGGUGCAGAGAUGAAGGAGAAGCAAGUGUUAGACCCUGUCUUGAUGAAAAUCAAGAGUGAUGUUAGAGGGAAAAGGUAAUGGUAUUCAAGAUCAAUGGUGAUGGUACUCUGAGGUACUAAGGGAGGUUAUGUGUUCCUAACAUCGAUGGUUUACGAUAAAAUAUUUUGGCUGAGGUGCAUAAAUUGCGCUAUGUUGUUCAUCCCAGCUCAACAAAAAUGUAUCAUAAUUUCAAUGAGAUGUAUUGGUGGAAUGGUAUGAAAAGGGAUGUGACUAUUUUUGUAGCCAAGUACAUGGUGUGUCAACGAGUUAAAGUUGAGCACAUGAGGCCUGGUUAUUUGUAUUAAAAGAUUGAGUUGCUGCAAUAGAAGUGGGAGGUGGUUAAUAUAGAUUUUGUUAUUGGUCUUCCACAGUCUUGGAAUUAAUUUGAUUCAAUUUGGGUUUUCAUGGAUAGGAUAAUAAAGUCUGCUCACUUUUUGCCAGUGAGGACCAAUAUUUUGGCUGACGAUUAUGUGCGGUUGUAUCUUCAUGAGAUUGUAAAGCUGCAUGGGGUGCCUGUUUCGAUUAUUUCUGGCCGUGGCAUGCAGUUUUUAUCUCACUUCUGGCGAUCUUUUCAGGAGGGACUGGGGAUUAAGGUUAGUCUGAGUACUACUUUUCAUCUGCAAAUGGAUGCACAAGUAGAGAGGACUACUCAGAGUUUGGAGGAUAUGCUUCGUGUAUAUGUGGCUGAUUAUGGUGGCAAUUGGGUUGAGCAUCUACCUUUGGUAGAGUUUGCUUACAAUAAUAGCUAUCAUUCUAGUAUUGGUAUGGCCCUUUUUGAGGCAUUGUAUGUAAGAGAUGUAGAUCUCCUAUUGGGUGGUUUGAUCUUGGUGAGACGGAUAUGUUUGGUCUAAAUUUGGUUUAUCAGGCUAUGAAAAAUGUAAAGAUGAUUCGAGAUAGGCUUAAAGCUUUCCAAAGUCGCCAAAAUUCCUAUGCGGAUGUGAGACGUAGAGUCUUAGAGUUUGAGGUUGGGGAUAAGGUAUUCCUCAAGGUAUCUCCCAUGAAAGGAGUAAUGCAGUUUGUCAAAAAAGGGAAGCUCAGUCCCUGGUAUAUUGGUCCUUAUGUGGUUUUGCAGAGGGUUGAUAACUUGGCGUAUGGAUUGGAGUGUCCUUCUAGUUUGAGCUCCAUUCAUCUAGUAUUUUAUGUCUCUAUGUUGAGGAAAUGUCUUGGUGAUCCUUCUUUGGUGGUUUCUUUGGAAGGUUUAGGUAUUUCAGAUUGUCUGUCUUAUGAAGAUAUCCCAAUUGAUAUUCUUGAUCAGCAGGUUUGUACCAAGGAUGUGGCCCUAGUUAAGGUUCUAUGGUGGAACCACAAGGUGGAAGAGGCUAUGUGGGAGGUGGAAAUGGACAUAAAGUUUAAGUAUCCGCAUUUAUUUUCUUCUCCCGGUAUUCAUGCGGAAGGUAUGUGUUCUUAAAUACAUCUUUAUUUUUUGAGUUUGAUAAGAAAAGGUUGAUUUCCUUGCAUUUUUGUUUUCUGUCUUAAAGGUAAGAGUAGAGGCAUCUAAGUGGUUUAUGGAUUAGGUUUGGUUUCUGGAAUGGAUAUGACUUAGGUUGUAUGAGUCGUAUCGGUGGAUACGGAUUGUCUGGUUACUCAACUUAAUCUUAGACUUGGUAACUUAGGUUGGGUCUGAGUAUGAAUGGCUUACCGUGAUCCGUGAGCUAGGGUACUAGUCGUACCAUGGACUCGUAUGGUGGACAAUGUUCUAUCCUUUUAGGAUUCUAUUCUGCCAGGGGUACGGGUCAAUGGUACUAGUCGUAUACUUAGAUAUGACAGGGGUUUGGGUGAGUCAUACCUUGGACAAUGUUGGGUUCAAGGGGGAAUGGCCUUGGUACGAGUGGUGGGUACCACUCGUGCCAGAAGAUAUGACUGGUAUGGAUGGUCGUACCCACCUGACGGGAUUUUUGGGAGUUUAAGUGAGAGCAAUAUGGACAUUUACCCACUUAACUUUAUAAGGCCCUAUGACUUAUAUUUCUAUUUGGAGGUUAUUUACCCUAAUAUUCUAUUCAUUUAACACUUAGAAGCUUUCAUAAACACUUUAUAAUUCUCUCAAAGGCUUGUGGGUGGAGAAAAGCUAGGGUUUCAUCUUAAGGAUUAAUUUGGGUCUUUUGUUGGUAAUUUCUCUUCCUCAUCUUCUUUGUAAAAGGCACGUCUCUUCCCUCAUUGUUAGUUCUAACUAAAGGCAUGGUUUUAUACAAUGUUUUCAUGGCAUGAUUAUUGUAUGGUUUUGGUUUCAAAUAUCUAUUGGAGGUUUUGGUUAUAACUGCUUGGUAAUGGUUUUCCCAUGUUUUAAUUAUACAUUUACAAUGUUUUAAUGAUGGUUUGGAUACUUGGUUGCAUGUGAAUGAUUUAUUGGUAAUUGGAAUUGAUUUUGGUAAUACGAUGCCCUUAAUGUGAUUGAUAAAAUGCCUAUGAGAAUGCUUUCACUAUAUUGUUGGAUUUUUAAUGAAAACUAUUGCAUGGUAUGGUUUGGUAAUGGAACCCUAAAUGGUUUAAAUGGUUUGAAAUGGUUCGGAUAAAUAAACACACUUGUGGGGUACAAUGGAAUCCCUAAGUAAUCAUAAUAAUGGAACACUUGUGGUGUACAUGGGACUCCCCCAAGUUGACUUGGUAAUAUGAUCUACAGGUACAUGGGAAUCCCUUGAUCUCUAAUAGUUUGGCUAAGGACAAUACUUGCAAAUCAUAGUCGGUAUGACAAUACCAACCAAGCAUAGCCUUGGUUAAUAGUGAAUUAGUUGGAUGGUAAAUGGUUUUAAUUGGGAAAGGAUGGCGGGGUGUGAUAGCUUACCGAGAAGGUAGGAGUCCUAUGGACAGGCACUGGAAACUAUUGUUUGCCGACAUGAGGUAAGGGAAUGAAUACCCUAUAUGACACUAAGAGGUAUAUUAAAAUCCUCUAAGUAUACUGUACAUAUGUAUCAUGGAGAGCAAAGGGUACUUGGGAAUCCCCUACUCUUAUGGUAUCUCCGAUUCGUGCGGCUACACAUAUCAGGGCCCAUUCAGGGGGUUACACUGGACCCAUAUAGCUCACGGGUGGUUAGUAACGGUUAAGAUUCACAUACCUAGGUUAAUAGUUUUAAAUAUAUGCUAAAGACAAUUCCCUUUCCCGGCAUGGUUAUAUAUAUAUGUAUGAUUUGUAUGCAUAUGGUUGGUUUACUUUGUUUUAGUAAAUGGCAUUAUUUUAUCCUUAUCCUGAUUUCUUGCUAACAUUCAUCCACUAACCUAUCUUUGGGCAGCUGUAUCCCCAUGCGAUGCAGGAAUCGAUCAUUCUACUCCUCCUACUUAGCACUGGGACACUCGGGGUCAUCUUUUGGAUUAAAGUGGUGAGCUUCCAUCUUUCUAGAAGGUUCAAUUUCAUGGAUGUUAUUUCAUACUUUGGUUUAUUUAUGGAUAUUGAUUUUGUCUAUUGUUGGGGGCAUGUCGCAACCGGAUUUUGGUUUUCUUUUGGUUAGAGGCCUUUGUGGAACUACUAUGGGUUGGCAUGGGCGAGAUCAGUAUUGGUGUCAGCCUUAGUAUUGGCAUUGGUAUUAGGACUGACACCCUUGGAUGAUAUUGUUGGUUGUUCCAUCCUUUUUAUGUUAUGUUAUGAAACUUGGUUUGGUUAUUAUUUGGUUGAUUGGUUUAUGGUUUGGUCUCGUUAUCGGGAGGGUUUGGACAGUUGGACUAGGGUGGGUCGGUUUAGUUAUUGACCUAUCCCAUAGUUUGAAAUUGUGCAAUUACGCUAUCUUGUUAUAUGUUUAAAGUUCAUCUGACUUAAGUUAUGUGUUUGGAUGGUUGGGUUGGGUAUCGAGGUGGGUCCACGAUCCUGGUUGAACUUGGGAUGCCCAUUACGACAAGGCCCUAGUUCGGGCCGUGUCAUGAGCCCUCAUGGUUUAAGGUCCUGAAAUGAUCCUCAUCCUUUUCCGAAAAUUCUGAAAAUUUCCCCAAUCAUCCCUUUAACACCCCUUGUCAUGAUUCAAGUAAAAAAUUAUCAUUAAACACGAGAGAGUGUCAAAAAUAAAAUUGUCAAAAUUUUUGUGGUCUUAUAUUAUCCCCCCCUUUAGGAUUAUUCGUCCCCAAAUAAGAGAUUAGGACACCUUUGGCAUAAUACUAGGUAGGUAACACAUAGAAUAAUUCAAGAACAAAAUUCGAAAUGCAUCAAGAGAAGAAGUAAAAUUUGUAUCUUAAGAACCUUCGUCCAGCAUUGGAAACAAGAACGGGUAUUUAGCUUUAGGCAAAAUGACCUUCUGGACCCCUAUACUAUGCCGGUUUUGUAAGUUAGACACUUCUACUUACAUGUUUGUCAUCUGGACCCCUAAACCCACUAAAAAGCUAUAUUUUAAACCCUUUGACCAUUGACUUUGCCUAUGUGACAUUAAAAUGCUGACUAGGACUAGGAGAGUGAAUAUAAUCGCCUGGGGUGCGAGUGGGGGUUAAUUUUUUUACCAAUUUAUAUUAAAAUAAUUAAAAAAAUAAAAAAAAGAAUUAUUUUUUUUUAGUUUUUUAAUUUUAAAAUAUUUUAAAAAUUUUAAAAAUAAAAAAUUUUAAAAUAAAAAAUAAACCCUUUUAAAAAAUAUAUAUAUAUUUUCUUCAUUCCAAACACACCCUUAAUAAGUAUACUUUAGAACCCUUAAAAGUAUACUUUAGAGGUUGAUAAAUUUCACAUAUGUCACACUUUAAGGAUAGUGUAAUUAGUGGAUACUCAUGGGUUAUCCAUAUUUUAAAAUAGAUAAUAUGGGUUGACCCAUAUUUGACCCACUAUUAAAUGGGUUGGGUGUCCAACUCAUUUGACAUGGAUAAAACGGACGGAUAACUAUAUUAUUUAUCCAUUUUGUCACCCCUAAGUUUGUCAUUGCAACAUCAGGUGAGGCUAAGUGUGAUGGCCCACUACAUCAUCAUCUCAUAUAUAUGGAUUCCAUUUUAUUCUUUCUUGUCAGUUGUAUACUCAUGUGUUAUGCCAGAAUAUUCGCUCAUACUAGUUGAGUGUCAUCUCGCUAUCCAGCGAGAUACAUUGCUCCUUGCAUAUCUAUAGUAUGAGUACUAUUAUUAUCCUAGUUUUUAAUUUGGUCCUUCAUAUUUGUGUUGUUGUUAUAUAUAUGUUGUUUAUUGUGUUUCAAUUAUGUUUUAUUUUGUUAUGGUUACUGUUCCUUGAGAGGAAAAAGUGGAAAAGGGGGGGGGGGAAGGGAUUAUUUUUUAUUUUUUAAAAUCUAUUUAUUUAUUUUAAUAUUUAAUAUCAACCAAUUUGAUGCAAUAAUAUAACAAGUAAAAUAGAGAGUGUCCAAUAUGUCUUUUGUCAUGACUCGAACCAGGCUUGGCUGUGAAGGGUAUAUCAAGUCCUCCAUGGAUUGGAGACCACCCCUUUAACCCAACCCCAAGAGCACAAUAAUAAUUAAUAGUAACAAUGUGAAAGCCAAUUAAACAAAAAUAAGAAGAUGAAUAGAUAACUCUAUGAAAUCUAAGAGUCAAAACAAUAACCAACCAACCCACAUAUGUCCACAAUAGCCUCUAAAACUAGAAUACCAAAUAGGUCGAGACAUGCCCCCGAUCGUGACCAAAAAAAUCCAAAAGUACUAAGUAAAAAAAAUGGAAAUGGUAAGGCUUUCCGAAUGAUGGAGGCUCACCACUUCAUAGCAACUCGACAGAUGUGCUAAUUCACCUAAUGUUGCACUGGGUAAAAGAAGUCUCUUCAGACCCUACAUUAUGAAACAAUAUAGUGUCCUAGGACGACCAGUAGAAUAAACACUGACAAAUAAAUCAGAGAAGGUGAUAAAAUAAAUUCCAUGUCCAAAAUCAGUCAAAACCACAUGCACACAUUCAUAUAUACAUAUAUAAGAUGUCGGGAUAGGGAACAAGGUUUAAGCAUGAGAUUUAAAGUCAUUAUCCCAAACUGUUUAGCUCUGUCUGUCCUAAGGGCACCCAUGGGCUAUAUGUGUUCAGCUCCCCCGACUGAAGGGUCCCAACGCGUGUUAGCCACAUAAAUCGGGAAAAUCAGAGAAAGGGCCAAAGCCACCGAGGCUCCAACUAUAUAUAUAUAUAUAAUGUGUGAACUAUACGCACGAUCAUAAAUACCCCCACAUUGACAAACGCGAUUUUCAGUAUUGGUCCCUCCGAAACCUCCACCUUUACGGCGAGCUACACAACCCCAUCUAAGCCCAAAUUAAAACCAUUUAGCAUAUAAUUCCAACCAUUAACCCAGGAGUCAUUUAUUAAGGCAUUAACCACUUGGUAUUGUCGUACUAAUAUGCUUGCAAGCUAAAUUUAAACACGCCAAACCAAUCCACACAAUCCAUAUUGACUGCCAAGUUCCAUUAAAAUCCAAACCAUGGCCACCAAGGCUAUCCAAAUCCAUUUAAAAAACCAUUUAUCCAUUAAUGUAAUGCAUUGAGUUCAAAAUAAAGUUACACCAUGUAAUUAUCCAUAAUUAAAAUCAUAUUUAAAAAGUUGGUUGAGAUUCAUGUAAUUUCAAGCCAAAAUUCAUCCAAUUUGAGAAAACCCAUGUUCCCCAUUCCAACCAUUUAAUUAAAGUAACAAUUCAGUCCCCAAACACCAAUUUAAAUCAUGAAUAAUCAAUUCAAUGCAUGGGACAAGUAAUUAAAUCAAUAAAAAUCAAAACCCAUAAACCUAAUUUCAAAACCCACUACUUAAAUCAUAUGAAAAUCCAUCAAAUCAAUGCCACAAUAUAAAAUAAAGUUUGGGGAAGAGAGACAUGCCUGAAAAAUAUAGGAAUUCAAAGUUAAUUUGAAGUUUGGAGCUUGAAUGAUGAAUGCACAGUGAAACCCUUAAGCUUUCUUGGUUGGAGAGUUAAGAUGAAUAAAGUAGAGUUUUAUCUUUGAAAACUGAAGGAAAAGGGUCUUGUUUAUGUUUUUAAGUCGUGGAAAAGGUGAAAAGACCAAAAGCCCCUAACCCUUAAGUGAAAAAACAAACUGGAAGAUAUUUAACCCUUGGCAUGGCACGCUAAUAUUGUGGAGGCUAUUCUUCGUGCCAUGCCAAUAUCGUGGAGGGCAAUCUCCGUGACACGACAAUAACGCGGAGGAUAAAUUCCUUAAAGUUUCAAAAUAGCCCCGAACCCUUUUAGAAAAUUCCAAAACUUCCCAAAUUAUCCUUUUAACAUCCCUAAACAUAAUUCAAGUCAAAAUCAAUAUUACAAAUACGAGACGGUCAAAAUCAAGUUGAUCAAAAUUUAAGGGUCUUACAUUAUCCAUCCUUUAGGAUAAUUUAUCCCUGAAUGAUGAGUUAUGGCCCUUUUAGCACGGGAAUAAGAAGAAUACAUCGGAAUCAAAUGACAAACUCAGAUAAUAACAUGAGGAAAAUAAAACUCAUACAUCAAGCACUUUCUUCUAACCCAGGGAACAAAAAUGGAUAUUUGGCCUUCAUAUCUUCCUCAGCUUCCCAUGUAGCCUCUUAUACCUUUUGGUUUCUCCAAAGAACCUUCACUUAAGCUACAUUCAUGGUCCUCAAUCUACGAACUUGCCUAUCUAAUAUCUCAAUCGAGACUUCCUCAUAAGACAAGGAAUCCAUAACACCAACAUCCUUAACAUGCACUAUCAAGGAAGGAUCACCCACACACUGUUUCAUCAUGGACAUAUAAAACAUGGGAUGAAUAGAAUCCAAACUCACAAACAAGUCCAACUCAUAAGCAACAUUCCUAAUUUUCUUCAAAAUUAAAUAUAGACACACAUAACGAGGAUUGAGAUAUGCAUUCUUCCCAAACCUCAUGACUUCUUUCAUAGGAGACACCAUUAAUAAUACCCAAUUAUUAACCUCUAACUCUAAUUCUCUUUGCCUCAAUCCACAUAAGACUUUUGGCAACUUUAAGUAGACUUAAGUCUUUCUUUAAUCACCUUUACCUUCUCCAUAACUUGAUGGACCAAGUCAGGACCAAACAAGCUAGUCUAAAUAACCUCAAACCAUCCAAUAGGAGACCUACACCUCCUACCAUAAAGAGCUUUAAAAGGAGACAUCUGAAUGCUCGAGUGAUAACUAUUAUUGUAUGCAAACUCAAUAAGAGGCAAGUGAUCAACCCAACUACCCUUAAAAUCAAUCACACAGGCCCUUAGCAUAUCCUCCAAAGUCUAAAUAGUAUGUUGUUCUUGCCCAUCUAUUUAAGGGUGGAAAGCAGUGCUAAGGUUCACCUGCGUGGCAAAACCUUUUUGAAAAGAAUGCUAGAAGUGGGACGAAAACUACGUACCUCAGUCUUAAAUGAUCAACACUGGUGCAUCAUGCAACUUCAUAAUUUCCUAAAUGGACAUCUUGGCAUAAUCCUCUGCUAAGUAGUUAGUCGUCAUAGGCAAAAAAUGAGAAGACUUAGUCAUUUUAUCCACAAUGACCCAAAUUGAAUCAUACUAAUUGCAAAACCGUGGAAGACUCAUAAUGAAAUCCAUAUUGAUCAUCUCCCACUUCUAAAUGGGAAACUUUAUUUCUUGAGACAUGCCACCCAGCCUUAACUGAUCAACCUUAACUUGUUCACAAAACCAUACAAUUAGCUACAUCUUUCUUUAUAUUGUUCUAUCAAUAGAUCUUCUUUAAUUCAUGAUAUGUUUUAGUCAAACCCGAAUGAAAUGCAUACCUUGACUCAUGAUCCUCACUUAGAACCUUUUUCGUAGCCCAUCAAUAUCAGGAACACACGACCUACCUUGGUACCUCAGAAUACCAUCUUCUUCAAUCUCGUAUGUCAUAACCUUUUGCCGACCCACAUCAUCCUUAAUUUGCAUAAGAAUGGGGUUCAAAGCCCGCUUCUUCUUUACCUCAACAACAAGAGAUAAUUUAACUACUUUUUGUAUAAUGACUUCCCCAUCGUCAGAAUCCAAAAAACAAACUCCCAAAUUGGGAAAUCUAUGAAUUUCCUUCACUGUCCCUCUCUUUUCCUUAUUAUCAUGAGACAAGUUCCCUAUAGAUAACCUACUAAGAGCAUCACCAACAACAUUAGCUUUAUUUGGAUGGUAGUGAAGACUCAUAUCGUAAUCCUUAAGCAAUUUAAGCUAGCUCCUUUGAUUGAGAUUCAACUCCUUCUAAGUAAACAUAUGCUGCAAGAUCUUACGAGGAAUAGAUAUCCAUAUGCACCCCAUACAGAUAAUGGUGCCAAAUCUUCAAAGUGAAAACCAUGGCUAUCAACUCUAAAUCAUGAGUCGAACAAUUUCUCUCAUGAACCUUAAUCUACCUAGAAGAAUAUGCCACAACCUUACUAUGUUGCAUCAACACACAGACUAGUCCCAUACGGGAUGCAUAAAAAACAUAACAAAAAAAUCAGUACCCUCGGGCAUGGUGAAGACUAGCGUAGAAGUUAGCUUAUCCUUCAACUUCUCAAAACUACCCUCACAAGCAUUGGACCACAAAAACUUAACAUUCUUCUGAGUGAACCUAGUCAAUGGAGUAGCAAUAGAAGAGAAACUCUCUGCAAACCUCCUAUAAUACCCGACCAAGACCAAAAAUCCCCUAAUGUCAGCCGUAGUCAUGGUUCUAGGCUAUAUCUUCACCAUCUCAACUUUUUGUGGAUACACUUUGAUCCCUUCAAUAGAAACAAUAUGUCCUAAAAAAGUCACAACACGCAACUAAGACUCACACUUAGAAAAUUUUGCAUACAACUUCUGGUCAUUAAGGGUCUAUAAUACAAUUUAGAGGUGAUUGGCAUGAUCCUCCUCACUCAUAGAAUACACAAAGAUUUCAUCAAUGAAAAUCAUCACAAACAAGUCCAAAAACUGCCAGAAAAUCUAAUUCAUAAGAUCCAUGAAAGCAGCAGGAGCAUUAGUCAACCCAAAGGACAUCACCAAAAUCUCAUAGUGACCACAGUAGGUUUGAAAAGCAAUCUUGGGGAUAUCAACCUUCCUAAUUUUCAACUGAUGAUAGCCUGAAUGGUGAUCAAUCUUACAGAAAAAUCUAGCACCCUGAAGCUAAUAAAAAAAGGUCAUCAAUCCUAGGAAGAGGGUACUUAUUCUUCACAGUCACCUUAUUUAGCUGAUGAUAGUCUAUACACAUCCAAAGAGACCCAUCUUUCUUUCAUAUGAAAAGUGCAAGUGUACCCUAUGGAGAAAUACAGGACAAAUAAACCCUUUAUUAAGAAGAUCUUUUAGUUGCUCCUUUAUCUCUUUAAAUUCAGUCGGAGCCAUUCAAUAAGGAGGAAUGAAAUAGUAUGAGUAUCCAGUAAAAGGUCAAUCCCAAAAUCUAUUUCCCUAUUGGGAGAAAUCCCAGAAAGAUCAUCGAAAAACACUUUAGGAAAUUCAUUAACCACAGAAACAGAUUGGAAGGAAGGACUUUCAGAGUCAGAAUCCUUAACCCAAACUAGAUGAUAUAAACAUCCUUUAGAAAUCAAUUUUUGGGCUCUAAUAUAAGAGAUAAACCUCCUUUUGGGUACUAAGGAACUCCCUUCCCAUUCUAAUACUCGCUUAUUAGGAAAGUGAAAACUGACCUUUCGGGUCCUAUAAUCUAGAGAAUCAUAGCACAAGUAAAGCCAAUCUAUCCCCAAGAUAAUAUCAAAAUCCACCAUAUCUAAUUCUAUCAAAACCACCAAUGUCUCCCUAUGAAAUAUAGACACCACACAACCCAUGUAGAUUUUUUUAGCAAUUAUAGAAUCAUCCACUAGAGUAGACACAGAAAAGGGGUCAAAAAUACUUUCAAGACCAAAACCAAAAUGCACAGCCACAUAAGGAGUCACAUAAGCAAGUGUAGAACCUAGAUCAAGCAAAUAAUAAAUAUCACAUAAAAAGAGUUGUAACAUACCAGUAAUAAUAUCAAGAGAUGCCUCAAAUUCUUGGAAAGUAGUAAGUGCAUAGAGGUGAUUUCAGCCAGUGUCGGUACCAGAAGUAGUGCCCUUUGGCACAAAAAUUGAAGACGUUGCAACUGGAACUUUAUUAGCCGCUGUGGCAACUCUAGCUGAAGGACAAUCUUGCUACAUGUGAUCCAGCUGACCAUAAUUAUAACACUAAUUCCUCCCUUUCUUACAAUAGCCAUGGUGAAAUCACAAAAAUAACAAGGAGGAUAAGGUAGAGAUGACUGAGUUCCACUAGCCUGAGAUUGGGCACCCUAUGCCUUAGGACCACCGCUAGCCUUAGAAAGACUAUCGCCUGAAUUCUGAGAAUAGGAGAACUAGCAGACGAAUAAGAAUUAUCCCAAUUAUUUUUCUUGGUCCACUGUCUACCAUAUUUUCCACUAUUUUGUUGAUCCCUACCCUUCUUUGAAUGCCUAAACUUCUUAUUCUGCCUCUCUCUAAUCUCUACUUAUUUAUUCUUUUCAUCUUCUACCUACUGCAUAUAAACCAGAAGUCAGGAAAUGUCCAUAUUAUUGGUCAACAUUAUUGCCUUACACUCCAAUACCAAGUCACCAAAAAAUCCAAAGGCAAACUUCCUUAUUAGAUCUCUGGAUAGAUAAAUAAGACAACUAUUAAAAUUUCAAGGCAUACUACUUCACAUUCAUCUUUCCCUACUUCAUAUUCACAAACUUCUCAGCCAUAGCUUUUCUAAACUCCUAAGAACAAAAGUGAUCUAGAAAGGCACCUAAGAACUCAUUCCAUAAUACAGGUUCUACAUUAUCACCCCUCAACUGCACCUACUCCCCAUACCACUUAUAAGCCAUAUCUUUUAGCGGAUAUAUAACAAACUCUACACCUUCAAAAUCAAUAGCAUAAAUCCCUCUGAAAAUCUUCUUCAUCUCAUCCACAAACCCCUGAGGAUCAUCCUCAACCCUAGAGCCUAUAAAGGUUGGGGAAUUUAACCUCAUAAACUAUCCAACAUGAGUAAACUCAGAUGAAUAAGCAACAAAACCAACACAAUCUAACUGAUGAGACUAAGAUGUCACCAAUUGCAUAAGAAAAUCAAUAAGCCAACAAAACACCUCAUUAGAUAUGACUACCUAAGGCAGAUGAUCAUAAGCAUCAUAACCCCGAGAAGCUCAAGAAGGACUAGUAGGGAUAGGUGGAACUCCAUGUGGAGCGGUACUGUAAAACCCCACAAAAAUCCUAAGCUUAACUUCAAUUUUUAAAGCUUGUUAAGGGUCCCAAACUUAGAAAAUUCUAGCUAAGUAUUCAGACUUAGUGUCAUUUUAGCCUACAAAAGUUAGAAACUCUAUUUCAUAGCCUCUAUGGCCUUAAAAUGCCAAUCUUUAGGUUAAAUCAUGAUUAGGAAUGUCAUUAGGUGUUCACGAACAAGUUUUGGAUUUUUCGGACCUCAUUUAGACCAUGUUCGAGUGAAAAAAAUAGUGAGUUAAUGAGAUCUUAAUGUGUCGUGUUGUCUAUCGCAUCGACAAAUAAUUUUUCCCUCAGCUCAGUGCAGAUUCCACUAAACCGACGUAGACUCGAUGUGGUGCAUUGGCCAUCAUAUCGAUGCUAAUAACGUAUCGCGUCGAUCUACGCAUUGAUAGUUUGAAUUUCAGUCAUUAAAAAGCCGCAUCCUUGGGGGUAAUAGGUUCUUUUUUCCACGUCUAUUGACCCUCAAAACAUGAGAUUAAGCUCCUUUAGAGGCAAAAUUCAUUCUCUUUUCACAAAUUGCUCAAGAACAAAAACCCUAGGAGACUUAACAUCAAAUUUAAGAACUCAAGAACCCACCACCAAUCUUUCAGAAUUUAGGAAUUAAGGUAUGUAAAGUGUUUAUCCAAGGGUUCCUUCCACCCUUGGAGUCCAAGAACCUCUUUUAAACUUUAAGUAGCUUGAUUUCAUGAUUUUCGUGAUUUAGAAUUAAAGUGUAUUCAUGGCUAUUAUUUUAAUUGGGUUUCUAUUUCAUGAUUUAUUAUAAAAUUCAUGUAGAAUUAAUUGAUAUGUGUGCAUUACCAUGUGAAUCCAUGUUGAAACCCUUGAUGUUGUAAAUGUGGAAUUGAAUUAUGAUGCCUAUAUGUUGUUUUAGUGAUAUGUGCAAGGAUUAUGUUCUUCAAGUAUUUGUUGAAUUGUUAAUGUGAGUUGAAUAGUGAAAAUUAUAUCAUGUUAGCAUGUAUUCACGUUCAUGUCAUGCAAGUGUUUGCUAGAAUGACCUAAUGAAUGAAUAAUGAUCAAGUAGUUAGCUAUCAUGUUUCAAGAUUGUGUCAUGUCUUAUAAUUUAUGCUAUCGAGUCUUGGGGGUAUUUAAUACCCGAUAAUUUAGCUAAUUACCUAAAGCCAUGGUCAGUCACAGAGUAGUAUCAGUUAUGUCAUGAUCAAUAGAAUUCAAUUAGUUGCAGAAAUCAGGAAAAUUAAGUAAACUCAAUAUCAGUCCAGUCCAGUUCAGUAUAAUUAGUAACAGUUCAGUCCAUCUUAGAAUAGUUUAGAAUAGCCCAGUGUCUGUUCAGUUGGGAGUAAGAUUCAGAAUUGAGUAAACCCAAGGACGGGGACUCACCUGCCAGCAGAGGGUGUGAUUCUUAGAAGCAGUCCUUGUGUUCCAAAACUACAUAGCCAACGUAGGUUGAGCCAUCAACUUGCAAGUUGAGACUUGAUGAGGUGUUUUAACCUUUUAGUUGAGGGUACCACCAUUUUUAUUUAGAGCACCUACUAGAUGAGGGUGACUCGGCUUGUCUUUACCCGUGGCAUGGUACUGACACCCCUCUAGUUGGGGUUACAGGUUAGACCCCAAUCAGUUCAGAUAGGUGCAUGUCGGUUAGAUGAUUUCUUCCUAUAGUCUUAGUUUCAGUUCUAGUCUUAGUAUAGAACUCAGUUCAGUUCUACAGAAUUAGGACUAUCAGACACAGGCACUCAGCUUAGUACAAAACUUGACGUAGUUCUACAGAAUUAAGACUAUCAGAUACAAUCACUCAGUUAUCAGUAAUAUAGUAUCAGUAAACUUAUAUAUCAGUUAAUCAGUAUUCAGACUCAGUAUCAAGUGUUAUCACGAUCUCAGUUACAGUUUAUGUAUCUAUGUAUGUCAUGUCAUUCAAUUAUACUCAUGUCAUUCAGUCAGUAUUGUUCAUGCAUAUGAACCCAUGCAUUUCAGCCUACCUCACUUAGCAUACCAGUACAUUCAAAGUACUGACUCAUGCCUUUCUUUUACACUAUGAUGUCUUAUAUCAUAUGUUCAGACGUACGAGCUCCCGAUCGCACUUAGUAUUCCGAACUUUUCAGCAGCAGUGUUAGUGGUGAGUCCUCAUAGUUCGAGGACAUGGGUUUUAUUUCAGUAUUUUAGUUUCAGUAAUUAGAGUUAGUUGGGGGCUUGUCCUAUCAACUCUAUGAUCAGACAGUAGAGGCUCUUCAUACUAGAUAUUUUUAGUUAGAUGUUCAGUUUUGUUUUUUUUGUACCACUUUUAGUAUUUAAUUAUAGUAUUGAACCUUAUCUCUAGUUUUCUGCCUAAUUUCUAUAUAUUUUAUAGUAUUGUUAUUCAAUUAUUGCAUCAGGUACUAGUCAUGGGUUAGCUUGUGGUCCCUCGGGAUUAUGAGCACCGUGUGGUAUCCAAGGUAUAGACUCAAGGUAUUAUAAACUUGGUUUCAAAGCUUAAGGUUCAACAGAUUCCUAGUAAGUCUAAAAGACUCAUCUAGUAGAGUCUUGUACAUGGGUAUAUAGUGUGCCAUACUUACGAACAAGAGGCUAUGAGAUGUUUUAGGAAAAGUUUCCCUUCUUUCAGUAUUCAUGUAAUGCGAAUGAGCAUGAGCUCAAAUUAAACCCCCUAUGUAAUCCAAGUUUCUCUUACAUUUACAGAAUAUGACUCUAAAGAGGACUAAGAGAAGAGGAAUGAGAGACUAACCAGCACCUCAGCCCAUCCAUCCAGGUCCUCUAGAUGAAUAUGUCAUCCACGCUGUCGUGGAAGCCUAGAAUGAACACCCAGAUGCCAUUUUAGCCAACCCAGUGGCCAACAGAAUUUGGGACUUCACCCGAAUAAACCCUCUAUCUUUUACUAGGUCUAAGUCAGAUGAGGACCCUCAGAAAUUUAUUGAUCAGGUGCAGAAAGUUACAAAUAUUAUGGGGGUGACUGGUGUUUAGAGCAUUGAGUUGUCCACAUAUCAGUUGCAAGAUGUGGCUCACUCAUGGUUUAAAUAGUGGAAGGUAGAAAGGGACGCAGAUGCAGCCCCAUAGAGUGGUAGGAAUUUUUCAUUGCUUUUCUGGAUAGGUUUUUCCCGCUAGAAUUGAGGGAAGCGAAGGUUCUAGAAUUUAUUAAUCUGAAGUAAGGAAACAUGACAGUGAAAGAGUAUUCUCUCAAGUUUACUCAAUUAUUUAGAUACGCUCCUUAUGUGGUGGAAGAUGGUAAAUUCAGGAUGAGUAAUUUUGUGUCAGAGGUGUCUAGCAGUGUGGUCAAGGAGUGUAGGACCUUAAUGCUGAUUAAGGAGAUGGAAAUAUCUAGUAUCAUAGUCCAUGAUCAGUAGAUAGAGGAGGAUAAGAAUAGGGAAAAGGACAGGGAGAGUAAGAAUAGGUAGUUUCAUCUUCGCUCAGCCUAAGUCAGGGUAGGAAUCAUUCUCAAUUUCGCCCGAAAUCUUCAGUUCUAAUUUCAUCCUCAGCCAGUGCUCCAGUGCCAAAAUUCAGAGACAACAAUAGAGAUAAAGAACCAUGCCCUAAACCUUAGGGUAGUGUAACCAGCGCCCGAACCAAUCCUUUUUUUCAAAAAUAUGGCAGAAACCACCAGGGGAUCUGCACAGCUAGCAGCUAUGUGUUUUGGGUGUGGCAAGACAGGUCACAAAGUUAAAUAUUCUCCCUAGUAAGUUUCCCAGGGUUAGCAUAACUCUCCCCCAACUCAGUCCGAUUGUUCGAAUCAGCAGGGUACUCCAUCCAGUGCCACUACAGGAAAGUUCUCCUAAUAUGGUCACUGGUACGUUACAAGUUUUCUAUUUACAUAUUUAUGCUUUGGUAUAUCCAAAAGUUUCUUUGUCUUUUGUUACUCCUUAUAUAGCUGUUGACUUUGGAGUCGGUCUCGAAAUCCUAGCAGAUCCUUUCUCAGUCUCUACUCUAGUGAGUAAAUCUAUUAUAGCCCGAUGGGUAUACAAGAACUGCUCGGUUAUGAUAUCUCAGAAAGUCACUUCAGUAGACUUAGACAAAUAAAAAAUGACUAAUUUUGAUAUCAUUCUCAGCAUGGAUUGACUUCAUUCCUAUUAUGCCUCAGUCGACUACAGAAAAAAAAUUGUCCAGUUUCAGUUUUCGAAUGAGCCCGUCCUAGAGUGAAGGGGUAGUACUUCAGCACUUAGGGGUUAGUUUGUUUCUACCUAAGGGCAAGAGAAAUAAUAUCUAAGGGAUGUGUCUACCAUCUCAUUCGAGUCCAAGACUCUAGAUUGGAAACCCCUACUCUUGAGUCAGUAUAAUAGCAUGCAAAUUUCCGAAUGUGUUUCCUAAAGAUCUUCUCGGGGUUCCUCCUGAGAGGGAAAUUAAUUUCAAAAUUGAUCUUCUUCCAAAUACACAACCCAUAUCUAUUUCACCAUAUAGAAUGGCUCGAGUAGAACUUAAGAAGUUAAAAUAACAGUUAAAGGAUCUCCUAGAUAAGGGAUUCAUCAGACCCAGUAUAUCCCUGUGGGGUACACCAGUUUUAUUCUUAUGUAAGAAAGAUGGUUCCCUCAAAAUAUGUAUUGACUACCAUCAUCUAAAUAAAUUCAUGGUAAAAAACAAGUAUCCACUUUCCCAAAUCAAUGACAUAUUUGACCAACUUCAGGGUGCCAGUUAUUUCUCUAAGAUAGACCUCAGAUCAGGCUAUCAUCAACUCAGAGUCAGGGAAUGUGACAUUUUGAAAACCACUUUUAGAAAUUGGUAUGGACACAUUGAAUUCUUAGUAACUUCAUUUGGUCUUACCAAUGCCCCCGCAGCCUUCAUGGACUUGAUGAACCGUGUGUUUAAGUAGUACUUGGAUAUGUUCAUCAUAGUCUUCAUAGAUGACAUUCUUGUCUACUCUCGCAGUAAGCAUGACCAUGAAAACCAUCUAAAAAUAGUAUUGCAGACUCUCAGAAAUCAUCAGCUAUUCACCAAAUUCAGUAAGUGUGAAUUUUAGCUAAGGUUAGUAGCUGUCCUUAGCCAUAUCAUUUAUGAUGAUGGCAUUAGAGUUGAUCCUCAUAAGACCGAGGCAGUGAGAAACUAGCUUAGACCUAUCUCUCCAUUAGAUAUCUGGAGUUUCUUGGGAUUGGCCAGUUAUUACCGAUGUUUUAUUGAGGGAUUUUCAUCGAUUACAUCUCCUAUGUCCAGAUUGACUCAGAAUAAAGUCAAAUUCUAGUGGUCAGAUUCUUAUGAGAAAAGUUUUCAGGAGUUGAAGACUCGACUCAUUACAACUCUAGUUUUGACUCUACCAGAUGGUUCAGAUGGGUUUGUUGUGUAUUGUGAUGCUUCCAAAGUUGGUUUGGGGUAUGUUUUGAUGCAAAAAGGUAUAACUUAUGCCUCUAGAUAGCUCAAACCCUAUGAAAAAAACUAUCCUACUCAUGAUCUUGAGUUAGCAGUAGUAGUAUUUGCCUUGAAGAUUUGGAGGCACUAUUUGUAUGGUGUGCACGUUGAUGUGUUCACAGACCAUAAGAGCCUAUAGUAUGUGUUAUCUCAGAAAGAUCUAAACCUCCAUCAGAGAAGAUGGUUGGAGUUGUUGAAGGACUAUGACAUGAGCGUCCUGUAUCAUCCGAGUAAAGCUAAUGUAGUGGUUGAUGCUCUUAGUAGGAUGUCUAUGGGGAGUGUUGCUCAUAUGGAGGAGGGUAAGAAAAGUUAGCUUAGGAAGUUCAUCAGCUUACCCGACUAGGUGUCCGCCUAUUCAAUUCAUUAAAAGGUAGUUUGUGGGUAUAGAGUAGUUCAGAAUCAUCCCUAGUUUUUGAGGUGAAGGAAAAGCAGGAUAAGGAUCCCAGUCUAGUAAAGUUGAAGAAAUCAAUUAGAGAUCGAAAGGUAGAGGUUUUCUCCCAAGAGGUAGAUGGUGUGUUGCACUGCUAGGUUCGACUAUAUGUGCCAGGUAUAUAUGACUUGAGGCAGUAAAUUCUUGUAGAUGCGCAUUGCUCUAUUCAUCCAGGGUCCACUAAGAUAUACCAUGAUUUGUGGGAGAUCUAUUGAUAGAGUGGGAUGAAGAGAGACAUUGCAGAGUUUGUGGCUAAGUGCUCAACAUGUUAGCAAAUUAAGAUUGAGCAUCAGAAGCCUAGUGGGUCCAUGUAGGAGUUUAGUAUUCCCACAUAGAAAUGGGAAGAAAUAAACAUAGACUUUGUGAUGGGUUUGCCUAGUACUCGUCAUCAGCACGAUUUAGUUUGGGUCAUUGUAGACAGGAUGACCAAAUCAGCUCAUUUCCUACCAGUCCAUACCUCUUAUUCAGCCGAGGAUUAUGCCAAGAUCUAUGUUAGAGAGUUAGUCAGAUUGUACGGUGUUCCAUCGUCCAUUCUUUUAGAUAGAGGUACGUAGUUUACCUCUCAUUUCUAGAAGGCAUUCCAAAAGGGUCUUGGCACCCGAGUUUAUCUCAAUACAACCUUUCAUCCCCAGACAGAUGGUCAGGAAGAGAGGACCAUCCAAACUUUAGAGAAUAUGUUGCGACCAUGUGAGAUUGAUUUUAAAGGUAGUUGGGAUAAGAACUUGUCUUUGAUUGAAUUCACAUAUAACAACAACUAUCAUUCCAGCAUCCAGAUAGCUCCGUUUGAGGCUCUUUAUAGGAGGAGGUGUAGAUCUCCUAUUUGUUGGUUUGAAGUGGGUUAGGUCACAAUGGUAGGGCCUGACUUGGUUUUUGAAACCUUAGAGAAGGUUCAGUUGAUCAGGGAAAGGCUUAAGAAAGCUCAGAGCCGAUAGAAAUUAUACCCAGAUGUGCGUAGAAAGGAUCUCGAGUUUGAGAUUGGUGAUUUUAUGUAUUUGAAAAUCUCUCUUAUGAAAGGAGUGAAGAGGUUUGGCAAGAAGGGGAAACUCAGUCCCCGAUAUAUCGGUCCUUAUCAAAUUAUCAUCCAUUUCAGAAAGGUGCAUUACGAGCUUGAGUUGCCUUCAGACUUAGCUUCAGUCCAUUCAGUGUUCCAUGUCUCCUUACUAAAGAAAUACAUAGGUGACCUAGCUAUCUUAGUCCCUGUAGAGGACAUAGAUAUUCAGAGCAACCUCUCUUAUGAAGAGAUCCCAGUCAAAAUCCUUGAUUUUCAUAUUCGCAGAUUGAGAAACAAAGAAGUUACUCUGGUCAAAGUUCUUUGGCGAAAUCAGUCCGUUGAGGGAGCUACUAGGGAAGCAGAGACAGACAUGCGGAUCAAGUAUCCUCACCUCUUCUCCGUAAAUUCAUACUCAGGUCAAUGUAACAGUUUCUCUUUGAAUUUACUCAAUCUCAUGUUUAGAUAUAGCUACCAACUUGGUAUCAAUUAACGUUGUAUACACGGUCAUGCAUUUACGAAUUAGUUCAGUCAUGUACUCAUGCAUCAGAUAUGGAUAUUCAUUAUGAUGAUUUAGUAUAUCAAUAAUUUCAGUCAUGAAAUUAUGCUUCAGUUGUGCAUGCCCAAUGUCUAAAUCUAGUCUAUCAGUAUUCCCAGUUUAACAAGUCUCAUUCGAGGACGAAUAUUCUCAAGGGGGAGAUAUUGUAAGACCCUGCAAAAAUCCUAAGCUUAACUCAGUCCUUUAAGCUUGUUAAGGGGUCCCAAACUUAGAAAAUUCUAGCUAAGUAUUCAGACUUAGUGUCAUUUUAGCCUUCAAAAGUUGGCAACUCUAUUUUACGACCUCUAUGGCCUUAAAAUGCCAAUCUUAAGGUUGAAUCAUGAUCAGAAAUGUCAUUAGGUGUUCUCAAACAAGUUUUGGAUUUUUCUAACCUUGUUUAGACCAUGUUCGAGUGACCAAAAUAGUGAGUUGAUGCAAUCUCAAUGCGUUGCAUUGUCUAUCACGUCGACAAAUAAUUUUUCCCUUAACUCAGUGCAAAUUCCAGUGAACUGAUGUGGACUCGAUGUGGCACGUUGACCAUCACGUCGAUGCCAACGACGCGGUGCGAUGAUCUACCCAUCGAUAGUUUGAAUUUUAGUCAUUAAAAAGCGACACUUCAGGGGUAAUCGAGUCUUUUUUCCAUAUCUAUCAACCCCCAAAACACGAGAUUAAGACCCUUUAAAGGCAAAAUUAAUUCUCCAUUCACAAAUUACUCAAGAACAAAAACCCUAGGUGACUUAAUUUCAAAUUCAAGAAAUCAAGAACCUACCAUCAAUCUUUCAGAAUUCAGGCAUUAAGGUAUAUGAAGUGUUCAUCCAAGGGUUCUUUCCACCCUUGGAGUCGAAGAACCUCUUUUAAACUUCAAGUAGCUUGAUUUUAUGAUUUUCAUGAUAUAGAAUUAAAGUGUAUUCAUGGCUAUUAUUUUUAUUGGGUUUCUAUGUCAUGAUUUAUUACAAGAUUCAUGUAAAAUUAAUUUAUAUGUGUGCAUUACCAUGUGAAUCUAUGUUUAAACCCUUGAUGUUGUAAAUGUGGAAUUGAAUUAUGAUGCCUGUAUGUUGUUUUAGUGCCAUGUGCAUAGAUUAUGUUCUUCAAGUGUUUGUUGAAUUGUUUAUGUGAGUUGAAUAGUGAAAUUAUAUCAUGUUAGCAUGUAUUCAAGUUCAUGUCAUGCAAGUGUUUUCUAGAAUGACCCAAUAAAUGAACAAUGAUCAAGUAGUUAGCUAUCAUGUUUCAAGAUUGUGCCAUGCCUUAUAAUUUAUGCUAUCGAGUCCUAGGGGUAUUUAAUACCUAAAAAUUUAGCCGAUUACCUAGAGCCAUGGUCAGCCACAAAGUAGUAUCAUUCAUGUCACGAUCAGCAGAAUUAGUCAGUUACAGAACUCAGGAAAAAUAAGUAAACUCAAUAUUAGUCCAGUCCAAUUCAGUAUAAUCAGUUUAGCUCAGUUAAAUAGUAUGAUCAAUUACAGUUCAGUCUAGAUUAGAAUAGUGUAGAAAUUCAGACCAGUGUUUGUUCAGUUAGGAGUAAGAUUCAGCAUUGAGUGAACCCAAGGAUGGGGACUCACCUGCCAGCAGAGGGUGUGAUCAUUAGAAGCAGCCCUUCUAUUUUAGAACUAUAUAGCCAGCGUAGGUUGAGACAUCAACCUACCAGUUGAGGGUUGAUGAGGUGUUUUAACUUGUCAAUUGAGGGUACCACCCAUCUCAUUCAGAGCACCUUCCAAAUGAGGUGACUCAGCUUGUCUUUACCCGUGGCAUGGUACUGACACCCUUCCAACUGAGGUUACAGGUUGGACCUCAAUCAGUUUAGAGAGGGGAAUGUCAGUUAGAUAAUUUCUUCCUAUAGUCUCAGUUUUAGUUUCAGUCUCAGUAUAGAACUCAGUUCAGUUCUACAGGAUCAGGACUAUCAGACACAGUCACUUAGCUCAGUAUAAAACUCGGCAUAAUCAUACAAAAUCAAUACUGUCAGAUACAGUCACUCAGUUAUCAGUAAUACGGCAACAAUAAACUUAGAUAUCAGUUAAUCAGUAUUCAGACUCAGUAUUCAGUGUUAUCACAAUCUCAGUUACAGUUUACGUAUCUAUGCAUGUACUCUUAUUCAGUCAGUAUUGUUCAUGCAUAUAAACCCAUGCAUUUCAUCCUACCUCACUUAGCAUACCGGUACAUUCAAAGUACUGAAUUUUGCAUUAUAAUGUAUUAUAUCAUAGGUUCAGACGCACGGGCUCCCAAUCGUACUUAGUAGCCUGGACUUUUUAAAAGUAGUGUUAGUGGUGAGUCCUCAUAGUUCGAGGACAUGGGUUUUAUUUCAGUUUAUCAAUUUUAGUAGUCGGAGUUAGUUAAAGGAUUAUCCCAUCAACUCUAUGAUUAGACAGUAGAGGCUAUUCAGACUAGAGUAUUUUCAGUUAGAUAUUCAGUUUUGGUAUUGUUAUACCUCUUUCAGUAUUUAAUUACAGUAUUGAACCUUAUGGCCAGUUUUUUGCCUAAUUUUCAUAUAUUUUACAGUAUUAUUAUUCAGUUAUUGCAUCAGGUACUAGUCAUGGGUUAGCUUGUGGUCCCUUAGGAUUAUGAGCACCAUUUGGCAUCCGGGGUACAGACUCGGGGUAUUACAGGUACAAUCAGGAGUAAAAACCCUAGACUAAGUCUUUACUCCAUACACAGGGUGAGUUCGAUCCACAUUGUUCAUAGGUAGGAUAGAGUUUCUACAAACAUCAAAUCUAUGGGGAGGCAUGAUCUAAAAUGCGAGAAAGCCAAGAGUUAGUGAAGUUUCAUAACACUAAACUCUAUAGCAAGAAAAUAAAGCACAAGAAGGGAAAUAUUCCUAAAUGCCUUGUAUUCUCCUUCUUAUAAAUGUGGUGCGCUACACACCCAUAAAGAACUCUACUCAACACGGCUUUAUAGACACCCAAUGACUCUAAAUCGUGCUCUGAUACCAAGAUUAUCAUGAUAUGAACCAGGGCCUGGCCAUGACGGGUAUCUUAAGUCCACCGUAGACCAGAGACCACCCCCUUAAACCAACCUUAAGAGCAUAAUAAUAAUUAAUAAUAACAAUUUAGAAGCCAAUUAAACAAAAACAAAAGAUGAAUAGAUAACUCUAUGAAACCUAAGAGUCAAACUAAUAGACAACUAACCCAUAUAUGUCCACAAUAGCCUCUAAAAUUAGAAUACGAAAUCGAUUAGGACCUGGCCCUAACCAUGACCAAAAGAAUCCAAAAGCGCUGAGUCAAAAAUAAAAGAAUAUGGAAAUGGUAAGGCCUUUCAAAGGAUGGAGGCUCACCACUUCACAACAACUCGAUAAACGUGCUAAUCCACUUAAUGUUGCAUAGGGUUAAAAGAAGUGUCUUCGGAUCCUACAUUAUGAAACAAUGUAGCAUCCUAGGACAGUCAGUGGGAUAGGCACUAGCAUGUAACUCAGGAAAAGUGAUAAAACAAAUGUCAUGUCUAAAAUCAGUCGAAACCACAUACACACAUUCAUAUAUACAUAUAUAAGAUGUUGGGAUAGGGAAUAAGGUUUAAGUAUGGGAUUUAAAAUCAUUAUCCUGGACUGUGUAACUUUGUCCAUCCUAAGGGCACCAAAGGGCUAUAUGGAUUUACCUCCCCCUACUGAAAGGGUCUAAGCACAUGUUAGUCGCACUAAUUUAGGAAACUUUAAGGAAAGGACAAAUCCACCGAGGCUCCAACCAUUCCUAUAUAUAUAUAAUAUGUGAACCAUGAGCACGAACAUAAAGACCACCAUGGCGGCAAACAUGGUUUUUAGUAUUGGUGCACUCAGGACCUCCACCUUCAUGAUGAGCUAAAUGACCCUUUUAAGCCUAAAUUAAAAUCAUUUAGCACAUAAUUCGAGUCAUUAACCCGGGAGUCAUUCAUUAAGACAUUAACCACUUGGUAUCGUCAUACCAAUACGCUUGUAAGCUAAAUUUAAACAUGCCAAACCAAUCCACACAGUCCACAUAGACUCAUAAAUUCCAUUAAAAUCCAAACCAUGACCACCAAGUCCAUCCAAAUUCAUUUAAAUAACCAUUUAUCCUUUAAUGCAAUGCAUUGAGUUCACAAGCAAGAUAAAUCAUGCAAUUUGUCAUAAUUAAAAUAAAUUAAUAAAGCGAGUUAAGGUUCAUGCAAUUCCAAGCCAAAAUUCAUCUAGUUUGGGGAAAUCCAUGUUCCUCAUUCCAACCAUUUAAUGAAUGUACCAAUUCAAUCCCAAAACCACCAAUUUAAAGCAUGAAUAGUCAAUUCAAAGCAUGGGACAAGUAAUUAAAUCAAUAACAACCAAAACUCAAUUUCAAAACCUCCAUGUAAAUCACAUAAAAAUCCAUCAAAUCAAUGCUACUAUAUAAAAUUAAAGUUUGGGGAAGAGAGACAUGCCUGAAACACACAAGAAUUUGAAGUUAAUUUGAAGAUUGGACGCUGAAUGAUAAAUGCACGGUGAAACCCUAAAGCUUUCUUAGUUGGAGAUUUAAUGAUGAAUAAAGUAGAGUUUGAUCUUUGAAAACUAAAUAAAAAGGAUCCAUUUUGGUUUAUAAAUUGUGGAAAAGGUGAAAAGACCAAAAUCCCUCACCCUUAAGUGAAAAAAAAUAAACUGGAUGAAAUUUAACCCUUGGAAGGCACGCCAAUAUAGUGGAGGUUGUCCUCCGAUCCACUCUAAUAUCAUGGAGGGUAACCUCUGUGAUGCAGCGAUAAUGAAAAGGCUCAUUGCCUUGAAGUUUCAAAAUAGCCCCGAACCCUUUUCAAAAAUUCUAAAACUUUUUCAAAUUAUCCUUUUAACAUCCCUAAACAUAAUCCAAGUUAAAAAUUGAUAUCAUAAAUACGAUAAGGUCAAAAAUAAAUUGAUCAAAAUUUUAAGGGUCUUACUCCUUUUGAUGGAGUGAAUUCGAGAAAAGUUUGAAUUUUGAGUUCGUAAAGUUGAAUUCUUGAGAAAACUCUUAAUUGCUUCUCUUGAAAGCUGAAAAGGGGAAGAAUAAUGAUAAAAACUAAUAAUUGAUUGCUUAAUAGGGGUUGGGAAGUGUUUAGGGUCAUUUAAUAUGGUUAAUGACCAAAAAUCCCCCAACCCAACUUAAAAUAAAUGAACGGCCAAUUUUUUCCCUUGGGUGUGGCUUGCCCUUUUCGCGGCGUGCCACGUGCAUGGUACGCUCCUAUCACAGACCCUCACUGGUUUGGGGUCCAAAAAGAAUCCUAAACCUUUUUUGAAAAUUAUGAAACUUUGCCCGAUCAGCCCUUUAACAUCCCUUAUCAUGAUUCAAGUCAAAAUUAUCAUUAAACACGAAGAAAGGCCCAAAAUAAAAUCAUCAAAUCUUUAAGGGUCUUAUAUAUAUUUGGGGAAGAAAAAAAUCAUAUAAAAGAAAUUAAUUUAUUUCAUAAUUUAUUACCAGAAAAUGUCUAUUCAUCUACUUCCUCCAUUUCAAAGUACUCGUUACAAUUACUAUUUUGGAGAGUCAAGCGAUAUAAACUUUGCCCAAUAUUUAACUUCUCGCUAUACAAAUAUACUAAAAGAAAAGUGUUAUAAAAUACAAAGAAGAGAAGAAGAAGAAUAGGGAGGCAAGAGAGAGUGAUUAUUAUUUCUCUUGAGGGUUCAUUUACAAUGAAGAAAAAUCACUAUAUUUAUAGGAACAACUAAUUUUGUCCCAAAAGUUGGGGUUUCUAACUUUUUCAUAAAUAGACAUUCACUAUAUAUGGUAACACAUUUAUAACAUUCCCCCUUGAAUGUCUAAUUGAUAGAUAAUGUGCCUCAUCAAACCUUACUAGAAAAAACCUAGUGGAAAAAAAUUGAGUGAAGGAACAAGAGUACAUAACUCUAAUAAUACACAUAUAGACUGCCUUAUUAAUAACCUACUAAGGAAAAAUAGUGGGAAAAAACUUCGUAAGGAAAAAAGAGUACAACGUGAAUUAACUACCCUAAUGAGAACAUCCUUGACCUUUGCAUCCCGAUCUUGUGCAUCAUAUUCUUGAAAGUUACAGUUGGAAGAGACUUGGUGAAUAAAUCAGCCACAUUGUCACUUGAACAAAUUUGUUGCACAUUAAUAUCGCCAUUCUUUUGGAGCUCAUGUGUAUAGAAAAGUUUUGGAGAAAUAUGUUUCAUUCUAUCUCCUUUUCCUUCCUUAAGUUGUACUCUGAAUAUUGCAUUAUCUUCAAAAAAAAUUGUGGGUACUUUGUCACAUUUCAAACCAUAUUUUUCUUAAAUGAGGUGUAGCAUGGACCGACCUCAACCGCAUACACUCUCGGCUUGCUUCAUGAAUAUCUAUAAUCUUAACAUGGUUUGAUGAGGUGGCUACUAUAUAUUGCUUUAUAGAUCUCCAAGUUAUGACAGUACCCCACAUAUGAACACAUAGCCUAUUUGAGACAGAACUUUAUGCAAGUUAGAUAAGUGCCCAACAUCAGCAUAACCAAUAAGAUCAGGAUUAGAAUCCUUAGAAUAAAAUAAGCCCUUAUUGGUAGUCCUUUUAGGUGUCGUAAUAUAUGUUUGAUCCCAUUUUAGUUUCUCCUAGUAUGGGCAGAAUCAUACCCUUCUAACAAAUUAACCGAAAGGCUAUAUCAAUCCUUGUAGUAUUUUCAAGAUACAUUAGUGCACCAAUCGCACUAAAAUAUUGUACUUCAUAACCAAUCCAAUUCAGUAUUCUCAUUUCAGCAAAUAAUCUAUUGCUUUUGAGAACUCUCCAAGAGUUCCAAUAAUUUUCAAGUUAUAAAUUUAUGCAAUAUAAGGAUUAUAAAUAAGUUUCCUAGAAACUUUUAUAUGCUUUAAACAUUUUGAAUCGUUAAAAAAUUUGUAUAUAAAUUUUUUCAAGUGACAAUAGUCAACAUGUCAUGUGUGACAUCUUCAGGUAUUUAAAAUGCAAAUCAAAUAAGUUUUAUGCUUACCAAGAUGCAUCCUUUCAUUUCACUUGAUAAAUAUUUCUACGUCAUCAUACUUAAAUAAACGUAGAAUUCAGAUCCUCGUAAUCUUUUACAAUAUUGCACCAAUGUUGUAUCAAAGAUAUUAUCAAUGAUAUAUCAUUUUUUAUUAAUUCACAAUGUAACAUAACAUGUUGAGAUCUCAUUACUUCAUUAUUUUUAGGUUCCUACACAUUUUAUAAGGUUUCAUGAAGUGUUAUGUCGUAGGUUCUUUAAGAGCACAUUGCCUCCUUAUUAUGAUCAUUUGCUUUUUUUUUUUCAAGAAUUAUUAUUUAUUUAACUGAUUGAUCUACCAUGCUUCAUAAAUAUAGUUUUGUCCUUCAAGGAAAUUCAAUUGGAGCAUUUACAGCUAAAUAUAAUGUCAAUUUUUGGGUUUGCAAAUACUCCUAUCAUUUGAACUUGAAUUAUGCUUUGAUGAGGAUCAGAUUUAUGAUAACUCAUAAUAUAUUUCUUAGCUUUUUAGUAUACUCCCCUCAUUUUACAAAUACUUACAUCUCAAUUUAAUUUAGAGAAUCGUCUUUAUGCAUCAUUAAUUGUAUACCGCACAUAAAAAAUCUUUUGAUAGAAUAUUUGGUUCAUGAACUUGAACUAAUUAACAGGGAAGAAAUAAUCAUAAUCUAUUGAUCUAAUGCAUACAAGUGUUAUUGUAUGUAAUAUAUCAUAUUUUAGACCAACAAAUGGGGCUUUGUUCUCAUAAGUAAUGAUUCAACUAUUUAUCAGAGGCAUUCAACGCUAAACCAAUAUUAUCAAGAUGAAUUGUCUUGAUUACACAAUCUGAAAAUUAUGCUCUUAACUCAAUUUUAUUGAUCAAGCAACUUUAUGAAUGUUAAACUGCAGGUUGUCAAUAAAUGUACAUGUGAUCAUCUUAUUGAUGCAUCUUUUUAAUAUAUCACAUGGUAGAUAAACAAACUCUUAUUCACCUUUGAUACUUUUCAGAAUUUAGAGGAUCCAACCUGAAUAUUGGUUGGUCCAACCAACUUGUCAUGAGAACAAGCAACAUAAGACACUUAUUGAAGAAUAUUCUUGUUCUUUAUUACAUGUCUAAUAAUAAAUAUGCAUAUCUUCAUGAUUUCAUAAUCGUUCAUGCAAACUUAUGAACUUGUUUGUACUAGUAAACACCAACUUUAUUAUGAUUCUGAUUUUUGCUUUAGUAAAUUUCAGAUUUACAUGAAUAAGUUUUCGAAUUUACUAUUUUGAGAGUAAAUUUUAGAAUAACCCGUCUCAAUUAUUCUACCUCUUUCUAAGAUGAGUUGUGAUAUCAUCACAAUCAAGUGAACAUUUGUAUUGAUAAGCUUUAAUAACUAUUAUCACAUUCACCCUAGGAAAUGGAUCUAUACUUACAACAAUUGAAAUUCUCAUCUAUGGGAAUGGAAUAUAAUUGUGCCUUAAGUCUAUCAGCUUUUGAUAGUUUAUAGCCUCAUUCAUGAUAUUGUUAUUUCAGGAGCAAAUCGAGGCACACAUAUAAUGUAGAAAAUUUUUCUCUAACAUAUCUUAUAAUCAUAAUAAGCGUGUGAAAAUAUUAUCAUUUUUUAUGAUUAUUAUCAUAUUGUCCCUCAACACGUAUAUUCGUACAUUCAACCACUUGUCUUCUUUUAGAAAUUAUGCACUGCUACCAUAUUCACUUCAGAGAAUGGCACAUAUUCAAUAUGACAUGUCUCACGAUUUUCAAUCAAAUACACAUUAUUUUGCCUUAGCCAUCAUUGUAUCUUUAUUAUUGUGCAUUGAGAUUCAAACUCAAUGUCUUAUUCAUAGAAAGACGUCUUAGGCUAUAAAUUGUAGAAAUUUGAACUCAAUAUCUUAGCAUCAUGAUGCUUCGGGAAUCUACCCAAAUGUCUUACCCUUCUAAUGAAAUGAGACUUAGAUCCAUCAUCAUACCUUUUAAUAAUAUCAUUCUUCAAGAACAAAUUGAAGGCAUAAAUAAUUUCGUACCAAUUAUGUUUCCUCAGAUCCAAAAAAUCAAAUAAAAUUAUAUCAAUUUAAUAGAAAACUCAUGAUGUCCAACAUAUUUGAACAUAUUAAAAUUGAGUAGGACAAAAUAAAAAAGAAUUAGUGAGAUAAACCAAACAAUAUAAGUUACAAUCUUUCAAAUAGAACAUAAUUAAUAGAAUCUGCUAAGUUACUAACAAGUAGUGAUAAGAAUAUUAAAUUAAGAACAAGUAAAAGGGUAUCCUUACCAUUAUGAAGAGAGAUUAUAAAUAAAUUACUCACGAUCAAAAGAUAGGAGAUCAAAGAUGGUUAGGGACUCAUGCUGAUUACGUGAAACCAGAAGAGUUACCAGUCACAAGAUCUAUUAUGAAAGGAGUAAUUUCAAAAGAAGUUGUAGAUCAAUUCUGUAAACAAGUUGGCCAAAAAUACGAUGACCAUAUAUGCAGCAGAUGUAGUGGAAGACACAACUUUAUUCCAGAUGCGAUGCUACAAUAGCAAGAAGAUAAGAAAGCAGCAGAUACGACGAGGAGAAGAUGGAAAUAACAUAACAACGGAGCAAUAAUGGAAGAAAAAGAUAAUAUGAGCUAGAAAGCAACAUGUGAAUUAUUGUGUAGCCUUUUAAAUCUUGUUACGUAAAUAAGUUUUUUAGUCACUAUUAUUAUUAGGAAGGGAAAAACAUAAAACUACAAUUAAAAUUGAAUUAAUAGAUAAAAAUAACAUAAUAACUCAAAAACCAUUAACAUAUAUUUUUGACGAUUUAAAAGAAUUUAAAAUGCAUAUAGAUGAAUUAUUAGAAAAACAAUAUAUACAAAAAAGUAAUAGUAAACCCAAUAGUCCAGCAUUUAUAGUAAAUAAACAUAGUGAGCAAAAAAGAGGAAAAAGUAGAAUGGUUAUUGACUAUAGAAAUUUAAAUGCAAAAACUAUGACAUACAAUUAUCCAAUACCAAAUAAGAUAUUAAAAAUAAGACAAAUACAAGGAUAUAAUUACUUAAGUAAAUUUGACUGUAAAUCUAGUAUUUGUAAUUAUCAAGGAUACAAAUAUGUAUCAAGGAUACAAAUGCAAGGAUAUUAUUACAUAGAUUACUUUAAUAGAAAUAUGUAAUUAUCAAGGAUACAAAUACAAGGAUAUUAUUACUUUAGUAAAUUUGACUACAUAAAAAUAGCAUAAUAACUCAAAAUAUAGUACUCAAAAUAGUUUUACCUAUUAAUUCAAAACUGUUAGCCAAAAAGUAAAUGGGAUAAAUUAAAAACACCAAUUGUAGUCAAAGGAUUUAAUAAUGAAGGAAGCUUAAUUACAUAUAAAGCUAAGAAUGUAAAAAUACAGAUAUGGGAUAAACUAACGACAAUAGAAGAAAUCUAUAAUUAUGAACUAACAUCAAAAGAUAUGCUUUUAGGAAUGCCAUUUUUAGAUAUAUUAUAACCACAUAUAAUAAGUAAAACAGAUUGGUGGUUUACAACACUAUGUAAACAAAAAAGUAAGAGCAAAAAGAGUUAUUAAUCAAACAAGAAAGAAAAAUGAUUGGAUAAAGGAAGUGAAAAAAUUACACAAAAGUUAUAAAAUAUAAAAAAAAUACAGAAGACACAGUAGAACUAGUUGUAUUUUCGAUAAAUAAAAAAGAAAUAACUAUAUAUUCAAUAGAUAAGGUAGAAAUAAUAAAGAAAAGAUUAAGACAAUUAUAUAGUGAAGAUCCAUUAAAAGGAUGGAAAAAACAUAAAACUACUAUAAAAAUUAAAUUAAUACAUAAAAAUAGCAUAAUAACUCAAAAAUAGCAUAAUUGAAUUGAUAUAAUAGCACCCAUUUUACUACCAUAUUCUUUCCCUUGGAUACAUCACUUGCGCCUGCAGCUGUAACUGUAAUUUCGUUAGUAAUUUGAGUUUUUAGGUGUUUCUCAUCGUCACCUUCUAGGUCUAGUUUUUUAAUGUGCUCUUCNNNNNNNNNNNNNNNNNNNNNNNNNNNNNNNNNNNNNNNNNNNNNNNNNNNNNNNNNNNNNNNNNNNNNNNNNNNNNNNNNNNNNNNNNNNNNNNNNNNNNNNNNNNNNNNNNNNNNNNNNNNNNNNNNNNNNNNNNNNNNNNNNNNNNNNNNNNNNNNNNNNNNNNNNNNNNNNNNNNNNNNNNNNNNNNNNNNNNNNNNNNNNNNNNNNNNNNNNNNNNNNNNNNNNNNNNNNNNNNNNNNNNNNNNNNNNNNNNNNNNNNNNNNNNNNNNNNNNNNNNNNNNNNNNNNNNNNNNNNNNNNNNNNNNNNNNNNNNNNNNNNNNNNNNNNNNNNNNNNNNNNNNNNNNNNNNNNNNNNNNNNNNNNNNNNNNNNNNNNNNNNNNNNNNNNNNNNNNNNNNNNNNNNNNNNNNNNNNNNNNNNNNNNNNNNNNNNNNNNNNNNNNNNNNNNNNNNNNNNNNNNNNNNNNNNNNNNNNNNNNNNNNNNNNNNNNNNNNNNNNNNNNNNNNNNNNNNNNNNNNNNNNNNNNNNNNNNNNNNNNNNNNNNNNNNNNNNNNNNNNNNNNNNNNNNNNNNNNNNNNNNNNNNNNNNNNNNNNNNNNNNNNNNNNNNNNNNNNNNNNNNNNNNNNNNNNNNNNNNNNNNNNNNNNNNNNNNNUUUACUAAUCUUAAAAAUGUUUGUAAUUUCUUUUUUGUAUUUAAUUCUUCUUUUGAAUUUAUUAUUUUUUAUACUAUAUGUUGUUGCAUUUUUACUCCACUUUUAUCUAUUUGUAUUUCUAAACACUCUAUCUGAUUUUUCGUAAUUUCGACUUUCUUUUCACUUAAACUUAUUCCCGAUUUUUCUAUUAUAUCUGUAAAUUGUUCUAAUAAUUUUAAAUGGUCCUCUUUAGUUUUUGUAUAUAGUAGCAUAUCAUCUAUGUAUACUAUACAAUUAGGUAAUCGUUUAAAGUAACUGUCUAUAAAGUGUUGGUAUCUACCUAGUGCAUUUUUAUAUCCAAUGGUAAUACGUUCCAUUCAUAAAAUCCUUGUAGUACCAUAAAUGCGGUUAAUUUCUUAGAAUUUUCAUCAAACUUUAAGUGGUAAAAUCCUGAUAAAUAGUCAAAUUUACAAAAGUAAUUAUAUCCUUGUAUUUGUCUUAUUUUUAAUAUCUUAUUUGGUAUUAGAUAAUUGUAUGUCAUAGUUUUUGCAUUUAAAUUUCUUCUAUAGUCAAUAACCAUUCUACUUUUUCCUCUUUUUUGUUCACUAUGUUUAUUUACUAUAAAUGCUGGACUAUUGUGUUUACUAUUACUUUUUUGUAUAUAUUGUUUUUCUAAUAAUUCGUCUAUAUGGAUUUUAAAUCCUUUUAAAUCAUCAAAAUUAUAUGUUAAUGGUUUUUGAGUUAUUAUGCUAUUUUUAUCUAUUAAUUCAAAACACAAAUAGUAAUCAAAGGAUACAUCACCUGCGCCUGCAGGAUACAAAUGCAAGGAUAUUAUUAUUGAUUGUCUAUGGAAUUAUAUGAAAUUAUAAUUACAUAAAAAUAUGUAAUUACAAUAACAUAUUUGUGUAUAUGUCUAAACACAUAGACAUUUCUUCUAUAGUAUGCAGUCUACAGUAUUUUUAUGUAAUUUGCCUGCAGUCAAAUUUCUUCUAUGUCUAUAUCUUUGUAACUAUAAUCAUUAUUAUCAAUUGUUCUUACAAAUUGUUCGAAAGGACUUUCUAUUUGUAUUUUAUUAAUUUUAUACUAAAUAUAUUUUUUAUUGUUGGUAUUUUAAAUAUUUUUUCCACACUUAAGUCUAACUCUUUUCCUUUUAUUUCAUCAAAUAUAUUAUUAUCAAAUAUUAUUUUUUGGUUUGUUCCUUCUUCAUUUAAAUAUUCUUCCUUUGUUAUUAUUUUUAUAUCUUCUCCAUUUAUUUGGUUCAUUUUUAUAUCUUCUUCAUUCAUUUAAUUCAUCUAAUUCACUAUCGAUUUCAUUGUCUGUUUCAUUCUCCGAAAUUUCAUAUAUACUAUCUUCACUUUCUAAUUCAUAAUCUAUAUAAUCUAUCUGCAUAUAUUCUGUAUUUUCUAUUUUUAUUUCUGAUAUUUGUUUCUUUUUUGGGGUUUUUGGUAAUUUACAAUCUCUAGCUAAAUGUCCUAGUUUUCCACAAUUAUAACCAGUACAUUCUUUUAUAGAUUUGUUUUUCCUAUAUGGUUUUUUAUGUUCAUAAUUUUUUACAUAAUAUCUUUUGCUUGGUUUCUUAUACUUAUAUUUUGAUUUCUUGUAUUUCUUAUAUUUCUUAUGUCUUUUUCUUUUCUUAUAAUAUAUUUCUUCACAUCCAAAUUGAGGUGUUAUUUUAUCUUUGCAACAUGCUAAAUUUCUUAUUAAUGUUUUUUCCAUUUUUAUUUCUUCUCUAUACUUUUCACAUAGAUUUCUGUACCAUUGUUGUAAAAAUUUUAUUCUUGCUACUAGGGUAUCUACUAUUUUUGCUUCAUCCCAACUCUUUUUUAUUUUUGAACUAAAUAGUUCAGGUAAUUUACUAAAAUAUAAUCUUCUUAUUUCUUUACUUUCUUCUGUAUUAUAUGUUCCUUUUGUCACGACCCAAAAACGAGGGUCAUGGUGGCACUUGUCGCGGCGUACCUUGACAAGUAAGCCUGCCACCCAAACUGAUACGAAUAGAGAAAAAGACAGAAAUACCCAAGGUAAGGCUUCUAGAAUAAAGCCAAACCAUAUAAAUAAUCAUAACAAUGCGGAAAAAACUUAUCCAAAACACAAAUCAUGCCCCAAACCAGGUGUCAAUAGUGUAAGAACUACUAAUACAAUCCAAGAGUCAAAUACAUCGAAAAAAUAACCACAAAGAAAUAAUAACUAUCUCCGAACACUAAUAAAGACAUAACUAGUAUAGAAAGAUAGAGGUGAACUUCGGAUGCAUGAAUGUCCAACCGCUACCUUGGAAGCUCCAACAAUCGAUCGAAUCAAGUAAGCUGAGGUGCACUCGAGCAAGGACCUACACCGAAAGGGUGCAAUAGGCAUGAGUAUGGUCCACUUGUACUCAGUAGGUAUCAUAGGCCGACUAAGCAAAGUAGUAAAUAAGGCAUACAAAAUAUACACUAAGGGCACAUCACCUGCAAUCAGAAAAUAUCCCACAACGGUAGCCCACACCGUUUGCACUAAUAGUUCUAAUAUAUCUCACAUAUAUUGCAAAAACACAUCAAGAUAUAGAACAUAAGUAUAGAUUAUGUCACAUAUAAAAUAGAGCAAGAGAGAACAUGUAGAUACAAGAUCAUCAAAUACAAGUAAAGAAAGGUAAGACAAAUACAUAGAUGACAAGUCAAUAAGGCAAUACAACACAUCAUAAACACAAUAAAGUAAGUGCAAUGUAUAUGAUAAUGAUGAUGAUGAUGAUGAUGCAUGAGGUUGUCGCACAACUCCGGGAUCGUCACACAAUCUCCGUAUACACCUACGGAGCCAAAGCUUCCAGACAUAGGACCUAUGGGGGGUUCGUCCACCCAUAUACAAUCCACAUAUCUCAUAUCUCCUUUCCAGCACAUCCCUCGGAAAGGGUUUUAUAAGGUGUUACAAUAGUUUUAAAAAGUGUUGCCAGUGUUUCUCAGAUGUUGUCACGGUGGUACCAAUGUUUCAUGAAUGAGUAUGAUAUGAAGAUGUAAUGCUCACAACCAAUCAAAAUAAGUAUUUUCACAACCAACCACAUGAUAUAUUUCCACAACCAANNNNNNNNNNNNNNNNNNNNNNNNGUAUUCAAGGCUAUCAAUGUCACAUAGGACCCCACACGGUCAAACAUAUCACAUAAUAUUUCAAUUUCGACAAUUACAUCACGUAUAGGCCCCCACACGGGCACAACACGUAGAUAGCCAUUUUUCAUAAUUAGUUUCCACCCUUAACAUGCAUUUUGUACCAUUAUUUACUACCCAGCCCAGUCUGAAGAGUUAAGCCAUAACCUACCUCAAAAGCCGAAACCAGUCCGCUACACUUGAACCCGUAACCUUACUUUUCACGAACCAUUCCAAAGUCUACUAAAAACAUCAAUUAUGUAAUCUACGCAUAAAAAUAAAACCAACGACACCCAUAUUGACUACUUUUGGUUUGGGGUCAAAACGGACCCCCAAAAUAGGUUUCCAAAAAAGAAGGGCAAAAUUGAAACUUUACUUCAAAAAUAUGUUUUCCAUAUUUUUAGGAACCUACAGCUGUAACCCCAAGUUAAAUCGAGUGAAAAACGAGGUUCAAAUCGAAGAAAAAAUAUUUUUGAGCUUUACUAGGUAAAAUCCGGGUUAAAAUCAAGAAUCGGAGUUGUUUUGAUGGUUAAAUUGAUGAAAAACUAGUAAUUAUAAUAUAAAAAUAUUAUUCAAGUGAAAGGGGAUGAAAUUUGGGUUUAAAAUCAUGCCCUAAGAUUUUUGGGGUUUUGAGAAAUUUAUCAAGAAAUUUCUAAGAAAAGGGUGAAUUCUUACCUUAAAUCCGUAAUUAAAAUCAAGAAAUAGGUGUUAAUCUAGCUUCCCAAGCUCUCACAAACUUCACUUUUAAGCUCCCAAAAUAUCUAGGGUUUAACUUUCAAGAGACAAGAUGAAAAAUGAGCAAAAUGGGCCAAAAAUAUUAAAAAACUGAUAUAUAUUGCAGAUUUUUUUGCAUAACUGAGCAGUUUUUAUUCUAACUCGAAAUGGACUUCGAUGGGGUGCUCGGAAUUCAUUCAGAGUUUGAUUUAUGCAAACAAACUAUGAAACCACACUAAAUUUGACGUUCUAGACGUGAUGACGAUAUCAGAUUUCCCAGAAAAAUUCGUUUUCACAAAAUUGACCCCCGAGAUCCGAAAUCAUAAUUUUCCAAACCGAGGGUUAAAAUGAGAUUUAAAAGCCGUAAAAUCAUACCAAACAUGAUAACACACUAAAAUUGACAUUCCGAAUCUGUUGGAAAAGUCAUAUUUUCCACACGAGGUCGUUUCGAUCAAAUGUCGGUCCCACAUCCAUAUUUCUAAUUUUCCAACUUUUUGAUCAAUAGGUCGAAAUGAGCUUGGGUGAACCAGGACCCGAACCAAAGGUCUACCUAGCCUAAAAAUGAUAUUCCGGAGCUGCUGGCAUAUUCCGUUCGGUCAUCCGUCGCACGGAUCAAAAUAUAACCACAUAAGUCCAAAAUAAGGCUCUCAAAGCCAUCAAAAAUCAUAAUAUUGCAUAAAUGAUACCAAAAUGCAUCAAAAAUCAUGUCAACCACUCCCACACCCCAGAAAUACCAUAAUGCAACUACGGAGAGGGGUAAAACAGUCAAAUCACACAAAAUCACAAAUUUCACAUAUUUCAUCAAAUUUUUAGGUCGUUACACCUUUAUAAUAAUAUUCUUUAAAUGCGCAGUAUACUCAUCUAUAUAGCACAUAUUACAUAUUUUUAGUUUUAACAUUAAAUUUCUAUUUAUAUCUUUUUCUUUAUUUUGCUAUUCUUCCUCUGUUGUUACACUGCUAAAUUCAUCUCUUAUUGCUAUUUCAUAUUUUUUCAAUAUUUUUGUUGGUAGUAUUUUAGUAGUUGUUGGUGUUCCUUCUGUUUUAUUAUCAGAUCUUAAUACUUUCUUACUUUCUUCUGCUAGGUUUAAAAACCAUAAUUUUACUGUUUCUAUUAAUGUCUUUUCUAUAUAUUCUGGUGUGUUUGUUGUAUCUAUUUUAUUAUCUAAUAAUUAUUUUGACAUACAUCCUAACCAUAAUUGUAUUAUUUUAUUUGUGUCUAUUACACAGUCUAAAUCUAAAAAGUUGUAAUUAAUUAUUUAUUUUGGUGUUCAUUUAUUAUAUUCAUCCUUUGGAUUAUAUCUUUUAAACUUAUUUUUGUAAUUAUAUUUUGGUUUUCUUAUUUCUGAUGCACUAGGUAUUACAUUUUUAUCUAGAGUAUUUACUUCUGUAUUUAUUCGUUAUAGAUUUUCUUUAUUAAUUACUUAUUAUGUUUCAUUAAUUUCUAGUUUUCCUAUGUUUUCUAGAAUUUCUGUAUAUGUUUCACUAUCUUCCGAGUCAUAAUUAUCUAUUUCUUCAGCAUCUAUUGUAUUUAUUUCUAAUUCAUUCGUUUCUAAUUCUUUAUUUUUGCCUUCUAAUUUUUCUUUAAAUUUAUUUAUCACAAUUAGUAAUUUUAUGUUCUUUAUCUUUUUCUUUUUUUUCUUUCUGUCUUUUUUCAUACAAAUCUUUUAGCAUUUGUAGUUCUUUUUUUAAUUCAGCAAUUCUAUCGUUUUUAGUUUCUUCUAUUUUUCGUAUUUCUUCUAUGGUUUGUUGUUUUAUCUUAUCUAUUUCCCUUUUUUCUAUCUAUCUCUUCGUUUUCCUUUUCUAUUCUUACCAUGGCUGCCAACUUAUCUUCUAAUUUUAAUUCUUCUUUUUCUAACAUUAAAUAUAAAUGUUCACNNNNNNNNNNNNNNNNNNNNNNNNNNNNNNNNNNNNNNNNNNNNNNNNNNNNNNNNNNNNNNNNNNNNNNNNNNNNNNNNNNNNNNNNNNNNNNNNNNNNNNNNNNNNNNNNNNNNNNGUAUAUAGGUUAUGUUGAUAUAUAUAUUCUAGACUAUCGAUUGUUGAUUAUAAAUUUGAUAUUUCUUCCUUUUGUGCAUUUAUUGAAUUUUUGCUAACUCCGACAAUUAUGUUAUAUUGUAGUCUUUCUAUCCUUAUUUUUAAUUCUUUACGUUUUUCAGUUAUUAUUUGUUUUAAUUUCUUAUAUUUUUAUAAUUUUUUUUCGUUAUUCAUCUAAGCAAUAUUUAUAAUAUUUUGGUGUAUAUCUAAAUCUAAUUUUAUCAUAUCUAAUUUUAUCAUAAUUAACAAAUUAAUCAAAUAAAUCCAAAUACAUACUACUUUCGUAACUUUAAUUAACGUAGGCUUUGAUACCAAUUGUAGGGGGUGCGGAUAACUUGGGUAACUUAAAUAGAACUAUUAUACCACUAAUGAAUCUAUUUUUGUUUGUGCGUGGAUGUUUCUUAACUUCUCUAAACAUUUUUAUUUUUAGUUUAUUUAUUUUAAUUUUAUUAAUGUUCAUAUCUUGGGGGUGAUUGGAUGAUAUUUGAUCAAAUGCUUUACCGUAAUACUUUUUAGUUUUUUCUCUUAGUCUUUGUAAUUUUUGUAUAUUAUUUUGAUGAUAUUCUAAAUAUUCUAUAUCUUUUGUUCUAAAAUAUUCAAUUCAAUUCUCUUUCAUAAGUAUUUUUGUUAAUCUUGUUUCUUCCAUAUCUUGUCUCCAAUAUUUUAAAUACUCAUAGUCUAUCAUUUUAUCCUAAAGUAGUUGUGAUACUGCAAAUUUCUUUGUAAUAAUUUAUUCCAAUUGUACUAUAUCUNNNNNNNNNNNNNNNNNNNNNNNNNNNNNNNNNNNNNNNNNNNNNNNNNNNNNNNNNNNNNNNNNNNNNNNNNNNNNNNNNNNNNNNNNNNNNNNNNNNNNNNNNNNNNNNNNNNNNNNNNNNNNNNNNNNNNNNNNNNNNNNNNNNNNNNNNNNNNNNNNNNNNNNNNNNNNNNNNNNNNNNNNNNNNNNNNNNNNNNNNNNNNNNNNNNNNNNNNNNUUUGUUCAUUUUAUUUAAAUGUAUAUAGGUUAUGUUAAUAUAUAUAUUUUAGACUAUCUAUUGUUGAUUUUAAAUUUGAUAUUUCUUCUUUUUGUGAGUUUAUUGAGUUUUUACUAACUCCGACAACUAUAUUAUACUGUAGUCUUUCUAUCCUUAUUUUUAAUUCUUUACGUUUUUCAGUUAUUAUUUGUUUUAAUUUCUUAUAUUUUUAUAAUUUUUUUUCGUUAUUCAUCUAAGCAAUAUUUAUAAUAUUUUGGUGUAUAUCUAAAUCUAAUUUUAUCAUAAUUAAUAAAGUAAUCAAAUAUAUCCAAAUAUAUACUACUUCCAUAACUUUAAACAACAUANNNNNNNNNNNNNNNNNNNNNNNNNNNNNNNNNNNNNNNNNNNNNNNNNNNNNNNNNNNNNNNNNNNNNNNNNNNNNNNNNNNNNNNNNNNNNNNNNNNNNNNNNNNNNNNNNNNNNNNNNNNNNNNNNNNNNNNNNNNNNNNNNNNNNNNNNNNNNNNNNNNNNNNNNNNNNNNNNNNNNNNNNNNNNNNNNNNNNNNNNNNNNNNNNNNNNNNNNNNNNNNNNNNNNNNNNNNNNNNNNNNNNNNNNNNNNNNNNNNNNNNNNNNNNNNNNNNNNNNNNNNNNNNNNNNNNNAAUUUAUCUACCAUUUCGUCAGAUAAAUAAGUAUUCAUUUUUCAUAUGAUACUUUUUCAAAAUAUUCUCAUUAAUCAUACACAUAAUAAAAUAUGAUCAUUUUAGAUUACUGUAUACUAGAUUAUUCUUAAAUAACAUGUUCUUCGGUCACUAUUAGCAUGAUAAUCUGGAUACUUUUCCCUUAAACAACGUCUCUACUCUGGCUACUCCCCUAUCACGGCUUUCUUGCCUCACCGUUUUCACCUUUAGGAUGACAUAGUUCUUUAGGAAUCUUUCUCCUUUUCCACUUUGCUAAUAAACUUCUUAACAUUCUAUUUUUCGAAUAACUCUACUAUAAAGUAACUAACAUGAACUUAUUUUAUCAUAUCAUGAUUGUCAGGAAUUUAUGAAUUUAGCUAUUCAUAAUCACAAAUAUAAAUACCUGUUCUGGUAAAUCUGAUAAUUCUAGAUUUUCCAUAGCUGUUUGAUGAUUCAUAGCUUUUUCUUGGAAAUAUACCUGUUUUUAUUAAAUAAUUCAAAAGUUUUAUAUACAAGAGAGGGUUUUGCUUCAACUCAUGAAGACUUGCCCUCUAUCUGCCUUUGGUUCCUCUAUUUAUAAAGGGAAAAUGAAUAUUUUACACUGUUCCUAUUCUUUACACGUAUCCCUAGCUUUUUACGAAAAGUCUUCAAAAAAUUAUGAUAUCUACCAAAUAAUUAUUGUACAAAAAAGUCAAAAAGCCUAUGCCUAAAAAGUUAAAGUUAUUUAUGGCUUUUACUAAAAACUCUUCCCAAUAAUAAUGACUAUACAACUUAUUUACGUAACAAGAUUUAAAAGGCUAUACAAUAAUUCACAUGUCGCUUUCUAGCUCUUAUUAUCUUUUUUUUCCAUUAUUACUCUGUUUUUAUCUUCUUUUCAUCUUCUCCUUGUCGUAUCUGCUGCUUUCUUUUUUUUUUUUUGCUAUUGUAGCAUCAAAUCUGGAAUAAAGUUGUGUCUGCCACCACAUCUGUUGCAUAUGUGGUCAUCGUAUUUUUGGCCAACUUAUUUACAGAAUUGAUCCAUAGCUUCUUCUGAAAUAACUCCUUUCGUAAUAGAUCUUAUGACUGGUAACCCUUCUAGUUUUAGGAUCGUCAUGACCCAUUUUCUUAUCUCUUCUCUGCCUUUUUUCUAAUAUUUUUACUAGUAGAGUAAACCAAUAAUUGAUUUUUGUAAUAUUAAAUCCAAACUGGAUUUUGAUUUAUAUAAUUAUUUGCUAACUCAGUCAAUAUACUGCUAAGUCCAAUAACUCUCUUGUUUUGGUGGAAGUCUGGUAUCUAAUUUUUGGUUAUCUCUUCUUGUUUGCAUAUUUCUUCAGGGUUAAUAUAAUCUCAUGUCAUUCCUAUCUUGACAACAGUAAUUAUCUGUUUUAUUUCAUCAAACAAUAUUUCUGCUGGUGCUGAAGUAGUAUGUAUUUGGUAUCAGAGCCUACGUUAAUUAAA
rnacentral:lncRNA from 1 species